GACUAAAUAGAAUUCCAGACUCUAUUUUGAAGGACAAAGCUGUGGCUGAGCUUGGUUGUGGAAAUGGAUGGAUAACCAUUGCCGUAGCUGAGAAGUGGUUGCCUUUGAAGUUUUGUUGGUUUGUCGUCCUUAUGCCAUGUGAGAGCUUUUGUUUCCUUCCUUACCAGUGCCUUCAGGGGCUCCAUCAUGAUUUCUCUCAUCAUUUUCUAUCUCUGUGUUUUGCAAGGCUAUUUGAUAUUUAUAACAGCAUUGGCACCAGGUUAUGGUGAUUUAAUGCAUUCCUAUUAGGAAAAAUUACAUAAUUAUCAACUCUGUCCUUGUCCAAAAGUCUUUGUUGGAGUAUGUUGAAAAUAUAACCUUGUAGCAGUUCUUAUAUGCUGUCUGAAUAUCGUUUUGCAGUCUAUGGCCUUGAUAUUAAUCCCAGAGCAAUAAAGAUCUCUUGGAUACAAUUGUACUUAAAUGCAUUAGAUGAAUCUUUUUCUAAGCUUUUCCGUCACUGUCACUGCAAAAGGUCUUUUGUAUUGAUGGUUAUCUGUGGGGCCAGGAAAGAAGGUCAGCCCGUCUAUGAUGCGGUGAAGAAAACCUUACUGGAUAGGGUGGAGUUUGAUGAAUCUGAUCUCCUAGCGUAUUGUUGACAUCAUGACAUUCAACUUGAAUGACUAGUGGGGUGCAGACCUCAGGUACUCUCACUUUCUGCAACUCAUGAUAUUUCUAGGGGAUUAAAUUUUGGUGAAGUUUGUUUACCCAACAUCAAGUUGGAAUUUUAGUGUGCCCACAUGGAUUACUUUUAACUCCUAGUUUAACUUAUUCUGUUUUCUCCAUGCAGGUUCUCAACUCCAAUUCCAAUGCAAUGUCGAAAAUAAUCAAUGAAAAUGCAAGCGAGGAAUUUCUGUAUUCAUUGAGUAACUAUUGUGGACUGCAGGUUGGAGGAUAUUCUAAAUAAUUUAAUUUUGAUGCGCAAUUGCAAAUUUCCGGGAAGUUAGCACUUACAGGCUUCUUCUGGUUUCACUUAUUUCUAAGCAUACUUGUUAUAACUUUGGUUUGAAGCUUGCAUACCUUAGGUAAGGUUGUUGUCUUUAGUUGGUCAAUAUCAAUUGGGAAAUAUAGCAAACCAGUGAAGACAGUGGGAAAAGGAUAAUGUGAGUUUGACAGAUGCUGAGAGGAGAUAGGGAAACUUGGAUCUGAAAGUUUUUUUUUUUUUUUCUUAACGUGUAACCUCUUCACAAUGCCAUUGAUUCCCAUAGUUCAUGUUGCUAGGUGAACUUAACAACAACUAUCUGUUAUGCCUUGUGGAUAACUGAGAAAGUUUAUUGAUUUUGACAGAUUGCUUUUUGAAAUAGAGUGCAAGUAGAUUGACUAAUAAUGAACAUACUGUAUCAAGUUGUUACAUUUGAACAUGUUAAGGUCAUAUGAAGCAUACUUCUUGUAACUUUUUUUUUUUUUUUGCCCUCCCCAUUUCCCUGUAUGGAGGGUUUCAUGGAGGAUCAGUUUGGCUCAGGUCUAAUUGCUGGAGCAGUUGAGGAAGGAAUUACUGUUAUCAAAAUAAAGAUUCAUCUCACUCACUAGCCAGUUGAGCAGCUCGUCACUAGUCGAAUUCAUUGCCGAUUGCGGCCCGUAUCCAUUGCCCAUCACUGUUUGGAUUCGUCGGUUCUAUCAUGUUGGUUCAGUAGCUCAUCGCCGCUGUCAUGGUCGGCCUCUUUGUUGUCAUUGAAGAACCAAUCGAUAAAUAUGAUGAUAAUUUUUUAUGACAAUAAUUAGGAUGAUUGAUGAUGAUGAUUACCAUUGUUUUUUUUUUUUUUGAAGGAUUACCAUUGUUGAUGAUUAAUAUUAUUGAUGAUGAUUUUUUAUGACAAUAAUUUUGAUGAUGAUGAUGAAGAUGAUGUAAUUGCGAUGAGAUAAUGAAGAUGAAACUGAAUUGUGAUGUUGAUAAUGAAAUCGGCGGAAGGAAGAAGAUAAUUGUGGUGAUGAUGAUGAUGUUGAUGGAGAAGAAGAAAUUAACAUGAUUGAUGACGAAGUAAGGAGGAAUUUAUAAAACAGAGAGAAAAAGAAAAAAGAGAAGAUGAAGAGGAUAAAAAGAACAAAUAAAAAAAUAAAAAAAGGAAAAAAACAGGAGAGAAAAUAAUAAUAAAAACAAAAGAGGAAAAUAAUAAUAAUUAUUAUUAUAAAAUAAGUUAAAUAUUAUUAUUAUUAUUAUUAACAAUAAUUUUAUUGAUAACCAUAAUCAUUUAAUAGAUAAUAAAAAUAAUGGUAAUAAUGAAUUACGGGUAUUUUAAUAAUUUAAAUAAUUCAUUGUGAUUUAAAAAUAAAAUAAAUAUAUUAAUAGUAUGUCUUUUUUAGACGGCCAUCCAAUUUUAUGUCUUUUUUAUGGCCAUCCACUUAGUAGCUUGGUUAGACGUAUUGGGAUGUCGUAGGCCUUAAAAGAUAAGAGCAAAAAAUCAAUUCCAAAUCUAAAGUGAAAAACACUAGCUAGAAAAAAAUCUAUGUUCUGAUGUCUUAGUUUGUAAGCUCAAACAAUGAAUAGUAUACAUACAGCGCAUUAUAAAACACAAAACUCAUGUAGAUUUUUAGUUUCGAAAUUCAUUUCAGAAAAUCUGUUCUGUUCAACAGGUUAAAGUAGAUUAUCAACUAAACUCUACCCACAUACUUGCAUACAAUUAGAGCACUAGGUCAACAAAGGAGCACAUCUUUCGGAAGAUAAUUGAAGACUUGUUUGGCAAUUUGAAGAUUACAUCUUAGCUCUGCCAUUGGAAGCAAGCAACUCAGCUGCCCAAAGACCGCCAUGCCAUCAAGACAAUACCUAGAUACAACAUCAAUAAUAAUAACAUCAAGAAUUACAUAGAGGCCGUCGCACGUUACACCCACCCCAAUAAGAAACUAAUUAAUACCGUCUUAGCUCCUCUGUUUUAAAAGAAAUUAACACACCCAUGAAGUAGGAAUAAUUAAUUAAUUUAUACAGUUCAGUACUCAUUCGACCUCUGUUUCAAAUCCAAAUCCACUGCUCGACCAUUUACUAUGACGUAAGGUAUAUGGAUUAAUUAACAAGUGCCGAUAUUGUCCUCCAUCCUUUUGUGUACCUUUCUUCUGGCAAGGCCUUUUCUGGAAAGUAUUUGAGCUCCAGACAAUUACAGAAUUUCAAUUUGCUGAGGUUUUGAUGAUCAGCAAUUGAAGAAGACAAGCGUUAAUAAUUAUGAAGAACUGGUGUAAUUUAUAUCAUGUAGGAAGCCCUUCAGUUACUUCUUUGACUGUGCCCAAACUCUUUUAAGGGCUAAUAUCAAAAUUUCGUGAUAUUGUGCCUGAAGAGCUUCAUACCUCAUUGUAACUGUUUCUAAAAGUUGAUGAGCCCAAAUAUCCAAUAACUGAUAAAUUAUGUUGAGAAAUAGAAAUAUUAAUAGUACUGAUACAGACGCAUGGAAGUCCCCCGUUUUGAGUUUAUGCUUGUGCUUGUCUACUUGACAAAAAGGACAUAGGUGGAAAGUGGACUAAGCAUCAUUGGAUAACUUGGAGGAAAAAUAGUGUCCAGCAUAAAGAAUCCAUCGUUAUGUGCCGCUUCCUAUUUAAUUACAUUUAUCUAACAUUUAAAAGAUGGAAGUAGAAAAUUAACUCAGUUUUUCAGAUAUGGCUCAUAUACAAUGCAAGUAUCAAGAUUUAAUUAGAGUUCACAUAUAUACAUGCGUCUAGUUUUUAUUGAGAGAUUAACUAAUCAUAAAUACUCGUGUUCUAAAUGAUUGAAUAAUGACAUUAUUGUUAUUUAUAAAUUUAUAAGGAUAAAUUUAUACCGAAAAGGGUCCCCAACAUAACUUGAACAACUUUACUUGUGUUUGCUCAUUGAAUAAUGUUAUAAAAAAUAAAUACAUAUGUUAGAAGAUUCAUAGUAUAUUGGAGUGUUUUUUGUACUUGAAUGAUAAUGAAUGAAGGUAUGUUAAUUUACUUUAAAUAGAAACCUUCCUAAAAGGAAUAGAAAUGCUCUAUAACAUACCAAAUACUACCUUAAUCAAAAUUUAGUAGGCAAAAAUUUUAAAAAUGGAAUAAUUAACCCUAAUUAAAUAAUUGUCUUACAUCACCAAACUCUUUUUUUUUUUUUUUAAUUAAGGCAUCACAAAACUCUGUAAAGCAUAAAAUAUAAUAGGCAAAUUUGAGCUAAAAAAAAAUGAAGUUAGGAAAAUGACUUGCAUACUGUCUUUGAUGAGCGCAUAAUUUUCUUGAAAAAAAAGGAUUUUUGUGUUUUUUUUUUUUUUGGUAAAUUCGUGUCGUUUACUAGUCUUUUGGGUUUUGUUGUAUAAUUCUUUGGUACGUGUUUAUCUUGCUUUUGUAUAUGUUAGGAAACGGAGUGAAAUCCCAAUAUUAAAAUAUGGAGAAAUGAUUUUUCAUGAAUAAAAUGAUUUAAUUUAUUUUUAUUUCUACAACAAAAAUUAUUAAGUUAUCAACAUAUUGAUUUCAUCUGUAAGUUCCAGUCAGUCAGUUUCUCACGUUCCAUUGUUAUCUUUUAAAAGAUACUGCAAUGCUUUAAGUGUAUUUGAUCACUUCACUAAUAAUUUGAUAUUUACAAAUUGAAAAAAUAAAUUAUUUCUGACCAAAGACACUAGAGAAUGUCGAAAAGAGUUUGAGUAAUUUUUGUAUACACACACAACACAAAAUUAAAUUACGUGGCAAUGUUGAUAGUGAGUCGUUUUUGGGAAUCCAUAAGUUCACAUGUGCACAGACGUCGGUUGCCUGCCAGCCCUUUCCUUUUUUUUUUUUAAUAUCUCCAAAUCAUUUAUUAGAGUCCCAAAUUUAUCACACAUCAUUAAGUAAAAUGUGCCAAUUAGUAAGAGCCAGCUUCUUUCCUCUGUUUUCUUGCGUAUGCUGCAUUCAAGUAUCACUGAAAAUUUUAAUUAUACCGUCAACAGCUGCAGGAAAAUUAUAUACAUUCUAUCAACACCUGCAUGCUGCAAUCCUCAAUGACUGCCAAAUCUUCAUACCAUGAAUAUCAAGUAACUUCCAACUCUUCAUAUAGUGAAUCAGCAGGAUUCACGUCCGACCAACUCCACAGGCACGGCUAAAGCGAAAGAUUAUUUUUUCAGAUAUUAUCAAGAAAUUAAUUUAAGUGAAAUAAGCUAAGAGUGAUUUCGAUAAGGUUUUCAGAGAAGAUAUAGAAAGAAGAUAAAAUAAAUAAAUAAGUAAUUUCAGUCGAUGCAAAAAAUGGGCAUGUGUCUGACUAACAGGACAUGGCUUGGAGCAAAUAUCAAUGGAGGAAAUAUCAGCUUAUAAUUUUAUAAAAUAAGCAUCAAAAUAUUCGACAAGUUUGAGGUUUAUGAAAUAUUGGGAAAAUAGACAAAUAACAAAGACGCUCACACUACAAGUUAAGCAGAUCAAAUAAACAGAACAAAGGAAAUAACUGAUCAAUUUAAUUCUUUGUGCAAUGGCCACGGCAACAGAGAAAAUAUGUCUACAUGACUAUAUUAAUGCUACUGGCGUGGAUGGUACCAUCACCAUGAUGAUAUGAGAUUAAAAACAUUGACUUCAUAAUUUUAUAAAAUUUCAUAUAGAAGAUAUAAUUGAUUUGAGUUAGUUUAACAGAGAAAAAAGAAUAAUAAGGAAUUACAUUGAUGUGGCGUGUGAUGAGAAUUGAUAGAGAAGAAAUAUUGAUCAUGUAAUAAUGAAAUAUGUAUUUACUGAAAAAUAUUUGGCAAUAAAAUGAUGCUAUAAAAAUUUAACAUUGUUUGCAAGAAAAUAGUUUGACAACUAAAAGACAUAUAUAUGCAAUGCUUUGAGUUUAUUUUAUCGCUUCACUAACCAUUUUGUAACUACAUAUUAAAUAUAAGUUGAAUUAAUUCUGAUCUAAGACUCUAGAGAAUGUAGCUAGAAAAAUGAUUUGAUUUUGUAUAUAAACAAUAUUAGAGAUGAGAUAUGUCAAAAUCAAUUACAAGAACAAUAAUAAGAACAUAUUCUGCAAAAGUUAUAAAUACAUAUAAAAUAAAUUUAAUUUCAAAUUAGGAAAUUAUUAAUUUGUAUAGUAAGAGAGUCCAAUAGAAAAAUAGAAAUUUUUUUGAAAGAGAUUUGCUUAGGGAACAACUUUAGUUUGGUUUAGUUUGUGAAGGAUCAAGUAAUUGAACGCAAUUGAAGGAAAUUCAAACUUUUGAUUUUGACAAAGUAAUCGUUAAAAUGCUAAAAAUACUGGGACAAUAGACAAAUAAUGAAGAUCCUAAAAGUUGGUGGAGCAAAUAAACAGAGUAAAACAGAGCAAAUAUUUACCGUUAUACAUAUAUUUUUAUUUUUUUCAAAAAUGAAUGUGUCUAAUAUAUAACCACAGUCCGCUAUUACUGAUGUAUUAUAUAAGCACGUGUCUAAUUACCAAAUAAAUUCCACUUUGACAAAGAACAAAAGCUAAUUUUAUUGUUACCGCCUGCAGUUGUGCUUUCUUUUAUUUAUUUUCGUUUUGUUAUUUUCGUUUUGAAUGGUCCUGCAAUUUGUAUUCCUUUCUGUGGGAUUGGUUUUUGUGAUAAAUAUUAUUCAAACUGCUCAACAGGUGGAUUGUCCUGCAAUUUGUAUUUUCGUUUUAGUGAUAAGAACAUGGCUUGGAGCAAAUAUCAAUGGAGGAAAUAUCAGCUCAUAAUUUUAUAAAAUAAGCAUCAAAAUAUUCGACAAGUUUGAGGUUUAUGAAAUAUUGGGAAAAUAGACAAAUAACAAAGACGCUCACACUACAAGUUAAGCAGAUCAAAUAAACAGAACAAAGGAAAUAACUGAUCAAUUUAAUUCUUUGUGCAAUGGCCACGGCAACAGCGAAAAUAUGUCUACAUGACUUUAAUGCUACUGGCGCGGAUGGUACCAUCACCGUGAUGAUAUGAGAUUAAAAGCAUUGAUUUCAUAAUUUUAUAAAAUUUCAUAUAGAAGAUAUAAUUGAUUUGAGUUAGUUUAACAUUGAAAGAAAGAAUAAUAAGGAAUGAUAUCGAUGUGGCGUGUAAUGAGAAUUGAUAGAGACAAAUAUUGAUCAUGUAAUAAUGAAAUAUUUAGUUACUGAAAAAUAUUUGGCAAUAAAAUGAUGCUAUAAAAAUUUAACAUUGUUUACAAGAAAAUAGUUUGCAAUUAAAAGAGAUAUAUAUGCAAUGCUUUGAGUUUAUUUUAUCAUUUCACUAACCAUUUUGUAACUACAUAUUAAAUAGAAGUUGAAUUAAUUCUGAUCUAAGACUCUAGAGAAUGUAGAAAAAUGAUUUGAUUAUGUAUACAAACAAUAUUGGAGAUGAGAUAUCAGAUAUGUCAAAAUCAAUGACAAGAACAAUAAUAAGAACAUAUUCUACAAAAGUUAUAAAUACAUAUAAUAUAAAUUUAGUUUCAAAUUACGAAAUUAUGAAUUUGUAUAGUAAAAGAGUCCAAUAGAAAAAUGGAAAUUUUUUAAAAAGAGAUUUGCUUAGGGAAAAACUUUAGCUUGGUUUGGUUAGUGAAGGCUCGAGUAAUUGAAAGCAACGCAAUUGAAGGAAAUACAAACUUCCGCUUUUGACAAAGUAAUCGCUAAAAUGCUAAAAAUGUUGGGAAAAUAGACAAAUAAUGAAGACCCUACAGGUUUGCGGAGCAAAUAAAUAGAGUAAAAUAGAGCAAAUAUUUACCAUUAUACAUUUACUGCAGAAACAAAGUGCCUUCAUAACACCAGUUAAACUGUGUCUAGCUACCAUGCUGGUUCUACUUUUACUUUAUUAAAUAUAUACAGCAUUAAAUCACCUGAGCCUCCAGUUUCUCUAGUUUCCAACUUGAAAUUAAAACGUAGAAUUGAUGGUAAUGGAGUUCCUUAUUUAAUUUUGCUGUAGGUCAUGGGCAAUUAGACGGCCAUCCAUUUUUAUGUCUAUUUUAUGUACUAUUGGCCACUAAGUAGCUUGGAUAUUUUAUACGUAGUUUGAAAUAAGUCAAAAUCAAUUACUAGAACAACAAUAAAAGCAUAUUUUAUAAAGGCCAAAAAUACAUAAUAUAAAUUUAGUUUUGAAUUUUGUAAUUAUUAAUUCAUAUAUUAAGAGAGUCUUAUAGAAAAAUAGGAAUUUUUUGAAAGAGAUUUGCUAAAGUAAAAAAUUUCGUUUGGUUUAGUUUGUGAAGGCUCAAGUAAUUGAAAGCAAUGCAAGUGAAGGAUAUAUGAACUUGUAAUUUUUACAAAGUAAUUGCUAAAAUAUUUGACAAGCUUGAGAUUUUAAAAAGGCUGGGAAAAUAGAAAAACAAUGAAGACCCUACGAGUUGGCAGAGCAAAUAAACAGAGGAAAACAUGACAAAUAUUAUGUUGAUGCACAAUCUUAUUUUAUGUUGAUGCACAAUCCAACUUUUUAACAAAAAUAAUAUUUAAAUUGUCACAAAACGUAUUAUUCUUUAAAAAAAAUUCAUAUACAGUAGUUAAUUUUUCUUUACUCCAGGAUCCAACUACAUACCCCUCUUGUUUGUCGUUAUUCUGCUCAGUCGUUAGAUUUUAAUUACUGUAAAGAAUUGUGGAAAUGCUCAUAUAUUAUUUGUUGCUGUGUACAAGAUCCUUAUAUACAAAAAUACUAGAAUCAUCUAAGGCAAGUACCAAACGGUCAAAUAAUAGAAAAGGAAAGAAUAUAAAGGAGAAUGAAUAUUACAAUAUGCUAAGUUAGUGGCUAAGAUCAAGGACUGAUUGAUUCUUGUUCUAAUACUCCCCCUCAAGUUGGGAAGUGAAGAUCCGUAACUCCCAACUUGCCAAGAAGAUAUUGAAAUUGAUGUUUACCAAGAGCUUUGGUAAAAAUGUCAGCCAAUUGUUGUCGUGAAGGCACAUAAGUUAAGGAAAUGAUUUUGGCAUGAAGCUUUACACGAACAAGAUGGCAGUCUAUUUCUAUGUGCUUGGUACGCUCAUUGAAGAUGGGAUUGGCAGCGAUAUGAAGCGCAACUUGAUUGUCACAAUGUAAAGUUAUAGGCAUUGGAUGGGUCACAUGAAGAUCACGAAGUAGAGUUUUCAACCAAACCAAUUCACAUGUUGUUGUCGCCAUGGCUCGAUAUUCGGCUUCAGCGGAAGAGCGCGAUACAACUGGUUGCUUCUUGGUUUUCCAAGAAAUAGGACUAUUGCCAAGCAUGAUAAAAUAUCCAGUAGUGGAUCGACGGGUCAUGGGGCAACUUGCCCAAUCUGAAUCUGAGAAGGCAGAGAGUUCCAAAGAGUUAGUGGAGGACAAGAGGAUACCAGCGCCGGGAGAAAAUUUGAUGUAACGUAAGACACGCAGGGCAGCAUCAUAAUGUGGUCAUCUUGGAGUGUGCAUAAAUUGACUAAGUAUGUUCACAGCAUAUGUAAUUUAUGGCCGGGUGAUUGUCAAAUAGAUGAGACGUCCUACAAGUCGUCGGUAUUGGUCAGGAUUUUGACAAAGGGUUCCUUGAUCGUUAGAGAGCUUCAAGUUUUGUUCCAUUGGAAAAGAAGAUGGCCGUGUGCCUAAUUGUCCACUGUCUUGAAGUAUAUCUAAAGCAUAUUUCCUUUGAUUGAAGAAAAUCCCUUGCUUUGAGCGAGCCACUUCAAUUCCUAAAAAAGAUUUCAAAGUUCCCAAGUCUUUAAUAUGAAAUUGAGCCUGCAAAAACAUCUUCAAUGCAGUUAUAGUGUCAAGAUGGUUACCAGCAAUUAUUAUAUCACCAACAUACACAAGCACCAAUGUAAAAUGAGAAUCAUGCAUUUUAGUAAACAAACAAGAAUCAACAUAAAAUUGAAUGUAACCAAUUUGUUUAAGAGCGGAUGAGAAUUUUUCAAACCAAUUUCGAGAAGCUUGCUUGAGACCAUAAAGGGACUUGUUUAACUGACAAAAUUGAUAAGACUCCCCCUGUUUACAAACUCCUGGAGGUAAGGUCAUAUAAAUUUCCUCAUGCAAGUCACCAUGAAGAAAUGCAUUAUGAACAUCUAACUGAAAUAAUAACCACCCUCGAAUAGCUGCCAUUGCCAAUACACAUCUAACAGUCACAAGUUUUGCAACAGGUGCAAAUAUCUUAUGGUAAUCCAAACCUUCAGUUUGUGUGUAUCCUUUAGCAACAAGGCGUGCUUUGUAUCUCUCAAUAGAACCAUCAGCUUUUCUUUUAAUUUUGAACACCCAUUUACAACCAAUUGGUUUCUUGCCGGGAGGUAGAUCUUGUAUAGGGAUGGCAAAUUGGUCCAUCCAAAUUGGAUAUCCAUAUAUCCAAUCCAAUUGGAUUGGAUAAUAUCCAUCCAAAAUCUUCUUGGAUAUGGAUAUGGAUAUUUUUAAAAAUAUCCAAUUAGAUAUUGGAUGGGUAUGGAUAUUUAAUGGAUAUCCAAAAUCCAAUUAAUUUAUCCAUUUAAAGUUAAAAAAAUUUAUAUUGUUCAACUAAAAUAAAAAAAAAAUCUAAUUUUCUCUUAUAUUAACUAGUGAAAAAUUUAAAUUUCUCUUAUAUUAAAAACUAAAGUUUUCAAAAUUACCCUUUAAUUUUUUAACUUAUUUAAUACUAUUUAUAAUUGUUAUUUUAUUUUAUUGAUUUAAUAUUAUAAAUGGAUUUCCACCGGAAAGUCACCGGACCACCACCGGAGUUCGCCGGACCACCGUCGGAUAUCGCUGGAAUUACCGCCGGACCUCGGCGGAAAGUCACCAGAAGACCGCCAGACCACCGUUGGCUUCACCGGAAGAUUGCCGGACCACCGCCGGAAUUCGCCGGAAGGUCGCCGGACUUUGCCGGAAAGUUGCCGGACCGCCACCACCGACCACCGGACCGCCAUUUUAUUAUAUAUAUAUAUUAUUACUAAUAUAAAUAGUUUAAUAGCCAAAUUUGAUAUUGAAAUUUUAACUAUUUUAUAUUAUUAUUUUUAUAUAAUUAAAAUAAAAUAUCCAUGGAUCUCCAUAAACUAUAUGGAUAAAAUCCAUAUCCAUGUCCAAUAUUAAAUAGUGGAUAUGGAUAUGGAUAUAUCCAUUAUGGAUAAUUAUGGAUUUAUGUUUAUCCAUCCAUCAUUGGAUAUUUGUCAUCCCUAAUCUUGUAUUGUCCAAGUGUUACUUUGCUCUAAAGCUUUAAUCUCUAUAUCCAUAGCAUUGCGCCAAUGAGCAUGUUGAACGGCUUGAGAAUAUGUAGUUGGUUCAACAUCGUGAGAUAUGGCUGAAAGAAAGGCUACAUGAUCACUAGAAAACUUGUCAUAUGAUAAAUACUUGGAUAAUGGAUAUAAAGAACUUACCAAUAGUGGAUGAUUAGUAAAAGUAUUAGAGUUGCCAAAUGUACCGUGAAGUGCAGUAGAGCAAAUAUAAUUCUGAAGAUAAUUUGGAUGACAAGACUGUCGUUGGGACCGUCGAAGAGGUGGAGAAGGGAGAACUACUGAAUCAGAUGUACCUUGGUGGAGUGGCUGCUCAUUGGAAGAAGUUGGAAGGAGCUGUGCAUUUUCAUUGGCAAGAAGUAUGAUAGGAAGAGGUAAAACAUUGUUAUUUUCUUGUUGAUUGGUGAUAGUUUUGAAUGGGAAUUCAGUUUCCACAAAAGUAACAUCACGAGAAAUAAAAGUCUUUUUGUUAAUGAUAUCAUAAACUUUGUAUCCGGGAUACCCAAAUGGGUAACCAACAAAUAUACACUUGGUAGCACGGGGAGCAAAUUUAUGAUGAUUAGCACUGUUGGUAUGAACAUAACAAAGACAACCAAAGACACGAAGACGAUCAUAGUGAGGUUUAGUCUUAAAAAGCAUUUCAUAAGGAGAUUGACCACCAAGAUUAGGAGUGGGUAUACGAUUAAUCAAAUGGGUUGCAGUUAAAACACAAUCUCCCCAGAAAGAUAAAGGUAAAUGUACUUGAAAACAUAACGCACGUGCAACUUCUAAAAAAUAUGUCGGUGCUUGCGUUCUGCUACCUAAUUUUGUUGAGGUGUUUCAACACAAGUCCGUUCAUGCAAGAUGCCAUGCUCAUGAAAAAAAGAUUGCAUCUGAUUUGAUAAAAAUUCACGUCCUUGAUCAGUACGAAUUUUUUUAAUUUGUGACUGAAAUUGUGUUUUGAUCAAGAAGUAAAAGUUUUUUAAUAAUUGAAAAGCUUCAAACUUGUGCCGCAUGAGGUAAACCCAAGUACAACGAGUAUGGUCAUCAACAAUAGUAAGAAAAUAAUAUGAUCCCGUAUAUGUAGAUGUGCGAUGAGGUCCCCAAAUAUCACAAAAAAUUAAUUGAAAUGGCAUAUCAGAACGAUUUUUAUUCAAUUGAAAUGAACUUCUAGUGUUUUUUGAAAGUUGACAAAUUUCACAACAAGAAUUAAAUGAUGCAAUAUCAUAAAUAAAAGACAAACGCUGCAUUCGGUCUUUAGAAGGGUGACCGAGUCGCAAAUGCCAAAGAUUGGAAUUGGGUUCCUUUGCAACGUUCAUUACUGAAGGAAGGGAAGAAUGACCAUUGAUAUGCUCAUAAUAAUAUAGUACAUCCCGAACUUCACCCUUUCCAAUCAGCUUCUUCGUUGAAAGGUCCUGAAAAACACAAAAUGAAGGGAAAAAUAUAGCAGCACAGUUCAAAUCCUUGGUUAGCUUGCUUACAGAUAAUAGUUAAAAAUUAAAAUGAGGAACUAAUAAGGCAUUAUCUAAAGUCAAAGAGGAGGAUAAUUUAAUGGAUCCACAUUUUGUUGUAGGAACAGUUGUGACAUUUGGUAGUCUCACGGGUUUGACAUGAGACAUGGGCACAAAAUUUUUAAAGGAAGAAAUAUUAGGGUCAUGUGAUCAGAUGCCCCACUAUCAAUUAUCUAAGAAUUAUUAUAUGAGUUAAUAGCAGAAUUGCAAAAAGGAAUGAUUUUACCAGCUAAGUUUACAGUAGAUGGCUGCUUACUUGUUGAAAGUAUAGAUAAUAAAUGUUGAUAUUGUUCAGCCGUGAGACCGGGAAUUUGGAUAGUAGGCUGAGAUGAUGAAUUCUUGUCUUUUGGAAUGGGAUGAUCAUCUAGUUGUUGUGGCUUCGUGGUUGCAGGAGCAGCAACAUGCGAUCGAUUUGAAUGUUUCCAGUUUGGUGGGUAGCCAACAAUUUUGUAACAUUUGGCUUUUAUAUGCCCAUAUUUCUCGCAAUGAUCCCAUAAAGGUCUACCUCGUCCUUGUGUCUCUUGUACUCCAUGCAAUUGGCUAGGAUGUGAAUGAUUUUGACGGCUGGUCAUUUGAGUCUUAUUAUUGGCUGUCAAGGCUGUUGAUUCAAUAGAUGGUUGACUGGAAACAUGGAGAAGUCGUUGACGUUCUUCCUGAUGAAUAAUUGAAUAUGCUUUUCCAACAUUUGGAAGUGGUUCCAUGGCUAAGAUUUGACUUCAUACCGAAGAAUAUGAAUCAUUGAGACCCAUUAGGAAUUGAAACACCUUUUCAGUCUCCAGUAAUCCCUGUAAUUCAUUUGAAGUUUCACACUUGCAAGAAGAAAUAGUGGUUAAUGUGGACAAUUCAUCCCAAUAAAAUUUCAAAGUAUUAAAAUAAAUCACUAAUGAUUUUUGCUCUUGCUGGUGAUUGCAUAUGGCUCUCUUAAGUUCAUAAAUCCGUGGAUUAUUACUUUGUGAAAAACCUUCUUCCAACCCAAGCCAAAGAGAGCGUGGCGUAUCACAAUAGAUGAGGCCAUUGGCAAGAUUUUUCUCUAUUCCAUUGAGCAUCCAUGAAAGGACCAUGUCAUUGCAUCGCUCCCAAGUUUUUAAAUCUUGUGAGGUUGAUGAAGGUUUUUGUAUGCUUCCAUCAAUAAAACCCAAUUUGUUUUUGGCAUUUAAUGCCAUCUUCAUGGAUCUUUUCCAUGUUGAAUAAUUAUCACCCGUUAGCACAUUAGAUACAAGAAUGGCUCCAGGAUGAUCAGAUGAAUGAAGAAAGUAUGGUGAAGAAACAUCGGUAAUGAGGGAAUUUGAUGUUUCUAAUAUUGGAUUCAAACUACUAGACAUGAUUGUCAAAGAGAAAAGCAGAAAUGAGCAAAAUUUGCUCUGAUACCAUGUAAAGAAUUGUGGAAAUGCUCAUAUAUUAUUUGUUGUUGUGUACAAGAUCCUUAUAUACAAAAAUAUUGGAAUCAUCUAAGGCAAGUACCAAACGGUCAAAUAAUAGAAAAGGAAAGAAUAUAAAGGAGAAUGAAUAUUACAAUAUGCUAAGUUAGUGGCUAAGAUCAAGGACUGAUUGAUUCUUGUUCUAAUAAUUACGUUGAUCUAACGGUUGGGAUUUGUAAAUGAAUAACGAAGUGGUGUUUUUGGCUACCGUCUGAACCCAUUGCAUCUAAUUGGUUUUGUGAUUUUUCGCUUUCUUCUCUGCAACGCUUGACUAGUUCUAGAAAUAUCGACAGCAAAUUUGGAGCAUGUAUUAUUUUUCAUUAAAAUAAGUUUCCACCACCGUACCAGUAUAUGGAUUUCUGAAUUAAUUAUUAAAAGAAGCAAACAAUACUGAGAAUAUAUUAAUUAUUAAUUUAUAUAAUAAAAUGUUUGCUUCAAAAUAUACUAUUUGAAUUUGAAAUAAUAUUUUUUAAAAAUUUUAAUAUCACAAUAAUAGUCAUGAUCCAAUUGGUUUGAUUUUUUUUUUUCAGAAAAAAUUUGGAAGAAUAGACAAAUAAUGAAGACACAACCUAAGGAGAGCCAAUAAACAGGGGAAAGUGAAUUGCGUACUGUCCUCGAGCUCUCAAUUAUCCAACAUUCUCAAAUUUCUAUGUACAUUUUCGUAAAUUCAUGUCAUAUACUAGAGCUAGUAUUUUGGGUUUUGUUGCAUUAGUUCUCUGGUGUUUAUCUUGUUUUAUUACCUUAUGAUGCAAGAUUCGUGGUAGCGAUACACCUCGAAUAAAACUAUUUUUGUUUUUUUGGCAUUUUUAUUAGCACAAAUCAUUAUUAAUUACUGAACCCAUCGAGAUAUUGGUUUCAUUUGUAACAACUUGCUAAUUGCUUAAUACAUUUUUGUAAUUCUCGUCAUGAAGUCACAAAGAACCUGCAAAUAAAAGAUGAUUCAUAUACAGGUACAUAUAGAAUAAAGAUAUUUAAACAUAAACAUUCAAUUUUAUGAUAAACCUAACUGUCAUUGAGUUAUUGCUAUUAAAGGAAGUGAACAGAAAUAGAUGUAGAAAGUCAGAAAUAUGAAUGAGUGCACUUGAUGAUUUCUCGAAUAGAAAAUUAAAGUAAUAUCAUUUUUAAUAAAUGUGAGAUGAUUUAUACUCUAGAAUUUAUUUUGAACACUUAUAUUUUUAUUAUGAAAAAUCUCAUAGUUCAAUUUAUUAGUAUGGACAAUUCAAUAUAAGUAAACAGAAUAAUAAUACUUUUGAAACUCAUCUAACCAUAGUGCGCACGCACCCAUAUAAACCUUAAACCAUAAUAAAACGUUCUUCCUCAACAUAAAGACUAAUUCAUUAUUUAAAAGCAUAUAUUAACAAAUUUGUACACACAGAUUCUAUGGUUCUAAUUUCUUUGACUUUAAUUUUUCACUUCUCCACCAAAGGAGGUUCUACACAAAUAAACAACAGCAGAAAAACAAAUAUAAAAUGUGAUUCGUGUGUAGAAGAUAUAUACUCAUCAUAACAAUAACUGAUAAAUUGUAUUAAGAAAUAAAAAUAUUAGUAGUGAUGACAUGAAAGAAGUCUGUUGUCUUCACUUUGACUAAAAAUAAUUUAAAAUAAUCGACCAAGCGAAAUUCCUUAAGAAAUGAACUAGGUUGGGAAGGCAGAGCAGCCUCUGUUCUUUUUACUAUAAUGCUAAGAAUUGACUUCAAUUGGGAAGUCAGGCCAAUUGAAGAAGCUCCCCUGUUUUUCACUGAAUCAUAAUCCGAACAAUUUAUAAUUAAAUAAAUCAUUCAAAAUCUCCUUUAAUCGAACCCCCACUUCUGUGGUUUAAUGAAAUAUUAACGUUCAGCUCCUGAAGUUGCCAUUUUAUGUAUUGAAAAAGAAGAAAAUACAAGAAACUGAAAAUUAAUUGAUGCUGCAUCAUGUUGGAUUGUUAGUUGUUAUUAUGAUGGGGAUAUAAUCUUUGCCUUUUAAUUAUCAUCUAGCUAACGCAAGCCCACUAGUUUCAUUUGUGUCCAUCACUAAAAAGUAGAGUUGUUUAAUUCAAUAGUGUCACGUUACAUCACAUAAAGUCACUCAAUUUUCAUUGCCAUAUGUAGCUCAAAAGUGCAUGAACAUUGAACUUUCAACUAACUUAUAUUGAUUAAUUAAUACGACCAUCAGUUCUUAGUACCCAACAACAUCCAUCAAUAAGAGCAAAAUCCCCAUUAAUUUCAUAAAUAAAAAUAAUAAUAAGUUACAAAGACAAUAUUUGACAAUCACAAAAACAACUAUAAUUCACUCCAAUAAACAACAUAACAGAUACAUUAUCAAUAUUGCAAGUCGUUUUAUGAUUUAAUUAAAAGAGAAAAUAUGAAGGACAUAUUUUUUAUAUAAUUGAAUGUUCUCCUUGAUAAUUAGACAAAAUAACACCAAUCUAACUACCUAAUUCAAUCAUCAUAAUGAUUCAAUUUUCAUUUUUUAAUUAUGUCCAAUCAUGCUAAUUUAAUAAAGAUUACUGAGCACUUAAAGUACCUAUAUCUUCAACAACUUUGGCUAAGUUAGAAAAGUGUUAGAGCUGCAUUUAUGCUUUGUGUUAUUAAGCAGGACAUGAUCAUAUUACGUUGCGUUUUUCCGAAAACUGAAAAUUAUUAAAAAAAAAAUCUGAAAAGAGAUGUUGAAUCGCGAGCUUAAACUGAGUUUUAGACAUGUUUGACUUGUCGGUUGAUAUCCCUGAUUGUGCAUGUGCUGUCGGUUUUUGGACGGAACACAAGAAUAUGACAGCUGUGUGUUGUCGUCUGGAUCACAUGUUCUUCACGUGAUUUCACUUACCCUAUGCGGCACAUUUGGCAGUCGUUUUGGUCACUCAUUGAAGCACGAAUUAAGAACGUCAUUCAAGGUUGUUCAUUGACCUUUACAAGGCGGGAAAAUUCUGGGUUUGUUUUAACAAACCCAGAAUGCAGCUUGUGAGUGGGGGGAACUUUCUAGAUUCUUCAUGAUCUGUGUAUAUAGUCUUAGAGGCUACAGUUGAGGCAUAUGAAAAGCUUGUAACUUCUUCUUAAUGAUUGUAGUUUGAUCUCGGUGAUGGAGAUAAGAUUGCUGCCCUGUUCUUCACUUGAUAUAGGCUAUCUCCAAGCGGAACCACUUAAAUUGUGCCUCUGUUUUGCUUGUUUCGAGGUGUGUGAUUUGCUUGUCAUUUCUAAAUCAUCAAUUAGAGAGUUUAGUGAGAUCUUGGUGGUUUUAGAAUGAGUUUAAUCGAUCAAGAAUCAACAAGAUGCUAUGAAAACAAAAUAAGAGACUAUUGCACGCACAUCAUAGCAAUGUUUCAUUCAUUUCGAAUCUAUAUAUACAAAACUUAUAUCUGGUGGUUUCUGUUUGUUUAAUCUAACGGCUAUAACAUGUAUAUUGUCAAAAGCUACAGCGGCCAACUUUGUUUGUCCUCUUAGCAUCCUUGAUCUUAUAUCAUCCUGGUGAUUCUUGAGAGCUCUUCUCAUUCUCUCGUGUUGAGUCCCUUGCUGAGAUGAUAAAUACUUGAGGGUCCUUCCUUGAUAUAUUUCAGCAAACACUUGAUUCAUUCUAUCAAACAUUUGCAUCACUAAUCAUUAAAUGGUGUAAGAUAGUUCUGUUUUGAAAAAUCAAUAUAAAAUCAAUCACCUUAGAUUUUCUUAGUCUCAGAGCACAAUGGCUGAUGAUUUGAUGAGAAAUAUUAAUAUGCAUGCAUCCCCUGCAUUCGUUAGAGCUGCUCUCAACCUCUGUUUAAUAAGCUAGUCCUCUGCUGUAUCCUAGAAGGUGGAACAUUAUGCUUCCCAGCUGGCUCAAGAGGGAACUAUGCUUCUGCUGCCAAAUUUUUGAAAGCGAACAUCGUGGGAAGAGGUUGAUCUGAAGCCAUUGCAUCUGAUUGGUUUUGUGAUUUUUUGCUUUCUUCUCUGUAACGCUUGACUAGUUCUGGAAAUAUCGACCAUCAUCGAUGGCAAAUCUGGACCAUGUAUUUGCCCACUACUAAGAAAUAAAGUUUCCACCACCGUACCAGUAUGUCGAUUUACGAAUACAUUCAUUCAAAUAUUAAACGUACAGAGAAGAGAGCAAACUGUGGCAGGAUAGCAAAAACUGCGAAUGGUCAUUCCCAACACGAACGCUUAUGGCUGUUUUCCUUUUAAUUUUCUUCUUUGAAUUCUCCUUUUAUUAAUCAUUAGAAAAACUCCCUUUUUUUAAAUCAUGUGUUAUAAACAUUUACAUGGUUAAUGUCAUCGAAAUCAAAUGGUUGUUAUCUACGAAAAGAGAAUUGUUAGAAAUUUUGUAAGUCCCAUUGCAACAAUAUAUUGUUAUAAAUUGCAUUGUUUCCCAUAUAACAAAUAUAAUAAAAUCUCAAUAAAUUAAUAGUUUUGGGGACCAUAAAAAAAUUUAUUAAAAUUUAACAAAUAUCAAUUAAUUGGCAAAUUAAUAAAUUAUUAAUUUAUGAAAAUAUUCAUUAUUUUAGAAAAACAUGAUCACGUUUUUAGUAUUGAUUUACCUUGAGUUAGUAUCUAUUAUGUUUUAUUUGUCUCUAUUAGUUUUCUCUUGGGAAGAUUUUUUAAGAGUUAGCUGCUUUAUAUUAACAGUAAUAAAAUUAUUGUAUGGUUUUGUUUUUCCAUGUUAAAGAUCGAUUAGUCCUCUGCUUCUCCUCAGAGUCAUCGAGCACCGCCUGAAUCAUCAACAACGUGCUCUUCCACUUCAUCAGAUCGUCUUCGAUCUUCUCUUGGCGUGUGUUAAGGAAGUUAAGGAAGCUCAUAUUUGCAGUCAAGCAGAGGAUCACAGCAGCUUCUAUAAUCAGUUGCAAGUUGAUGACAUGUACUGCCAGCUGGCACUAGGUGGUUAUGUAGCUGCUUGUACUUAUACACGUGAUAAGUUUGUUAAUUAGUUUGUAAUUAGUUAGUUAGUUUUGUAACCAUCAGCUGAGAAGCAACACUUGUAUAUAUAUGCUUGUAAUCGUUCAGUAGCAUUUAAAAAAAAAGCUUGAGAAAAUAAAAGAAGAAAGUUUUCUAAAUCUCAGUUUAUUUUCUUAUUAGCCAAACACUCAUUUUCUGUUUUAUAACUUGGUAUCAGAGCCAGUCAUGGCAUCUCUGAAUAUUGCCUCAUCAAAUCACACUUCGAAUAUUCAUACAAACUCAACAAACUUCUCAUUCACAUUCAAUACCCCUGUGAAACUGGAUCAGGCAAACUAUCUGAUCUGGAGGUCCCCAGUUCUAGCUUCCAUACGCGGCAAUAGGCUAGAAAAGUUUAUUGAUGAAAAUGUCACUCCUCCUCCAUCUCAUAUUGCUCAAAGGAUUGACGAUGAACUUAGAUCUGUUGAGAAUCCAGAUUCAUCAAGCUGGAAAGCACAAGGUCAAGUACUUCUUGGCUGGUUGUUGUCAUCGAUGAGUGAAGGUAUUAUAAGUCUGGUGUUUAAUUUGGAAACUUCUCUUGAGGUAUGGAAAGCUAUUGAAACUCAAUUUGGAUCACAGUCAAAAUCCAGACUCUUACAUUUGAGAUAUUUGAUGAAUUCAACUAGGAAAGAUGAUCUGAAAAUCAAUGAGUAUUUCAUUAAAAUGAAGAAUAUUGCUGAUAACAUGGCUGCGGCAGGAAGUGCCUUAAGCAGUGAUGAUUUAAUUUUGCAUGUACUCUCAGGACUAGGACCAGAUUAUAAUGCUGUUGCUACUUAUAUUACUGGUCAAAUAAGUGGUGAUAAAAUGAAUUUAAAUGAGGCUUAUGCUAUGUUGUUGACUCAAGAAGCUAGAAUUGAGCAACAAGCACAUAUGCUUUCUGGAAUGGAUGUUAAGCAUAAUUUUGAAGCUAAUUUUGCUCAGAACAGAGGUUUCAAGAAAGGAAAUUUCUCAGGUGGUAGAGGAUCUGGUAAUCAUGACUAUUUUACUGGAUUAGAUAAUGCUGGAAAUUUUGGAAAUAAUUACAGAAGUGGCUAUGGAAGAUCUGGUUUCUUUGGUAAUGGUUUUGGAAAUAAUCAUAAUAACCAAUUAAGAGGAUUUCAAAGUGAUAAUCAAAGGGGAUCAGGCUCAGGAAAUUGGAACAAUGGUGGGGGUGGUAACAAUAACUCUAUCAGGCCUCAAAUGAAUCCAAAACCUCAGUGGAAUGCUUCUAAACCAACUUGUCAAAUCUGCUUAAAAACUGGUCAUACUGCAAAUGUCUGCUGGAAGCUUGAAGAAUUCUUUACCUCUGGUGCUUGCAAACCUCCUCCAAACAGAAAUCCCAAAGCUGCAUAUCUAGCUGAUAUGGAUGGUGCAGUUGAUGCCAACUGGUAUCUGGAUAGUGGAGCUACACACCAUCUUACCAAUGACAUGAGGAAUAUGACUAUGGCAGAAUCCUUUGCAGGUAACUCUAAACUCAUCAUUGGAAAUAGUACUGGUUUACAUAUAACACAUGUUGGAAAUGCUGUGUUAAGAAUGCAUAACUCUUCUGCUCAUCAUAUACUCAAAUUAAACAACAUGCUUCUUGUUCCACAAAUAUCCAAGAAUCUUAUUGGCAUAUCUCAGCUAACCAAAGAUAACAACAUUGUUAUUGAAUUUACUGAUAAAUCCUGUGUUGUGAAGGACAAGGUGAGGAAUUUGAUCAUACUGCAGGGCAAAGCUGAAAAAGGUUUAUACAGAUUGCUAUUGUUUCCCUCUAAUAAAGUCUCUUCUCAAUCAUGUCAAAGGUCUCUUGAAGCCACUCAAUCCAAAAUUUCAAAUGUUCCUAUGUCUAUGUUUUCAGUUGUUCAGUCAGUUGUCAAUAAUCAAACAAGUCCCUGCUUGCAUACUGCAGCAGAACCUUGUAUCAGUCCAAAUUGUAUGCUGAGUGUUUCUGUUUUGCAUCAGAAACUUGGUCAUCCUAAUUCCAAAGUUUUAAGUCAUGUAAUAAACUCUUGUUCAGCUUUCAAGAAUUUAAAUGGAAGUAACUUUCUUGAUUCAUGUGAUGCAUGUAAAAUGGGAAAAAUGCAUAGAUUACACUUUCCAGUUUCUACUACCAAAACAAAGCAUGUAUUAGAAGUUUUGCACACUGAUUUAUGGGGACCUGCCCCUGUGCUUUCAGUUCAAGGUUACAGAUAUUAUGUGAGUUUUGUGGAUGAUUUUUCGAGGUUCACAUGGAUAUUCCCAUUAAAAACCAAGGAUGAAACACUAGCUGUGUUUAAAAUCUUUAAGAAGCAAAUUGAGAAACAGCUAGAUAGAUCCAUUAAAUGCAUUCAAUCAGAUUGGGGUGGGGAGUAUAGAUCAUUUGUUAAUUUUCUUCAUGAGGAAGGUAUUCAAUUCAGACACUCAUGUCCCUAUACUCACAAUCAGAAUGGCUUAGUUGAGAGAAAACAUAGACACAUAACCGAGCUAGGUCUCACCUUAGUUGCUCAAGCUUCUUUGCCUCUCAAAUUUUGGUGGGAUUCCUUCCAUACAGCCACCUAUAUUAUCGAUAGACUUCCCACACCCAUACUAUCUAUGCAGUCACCUUAUGAAUAUGUCUUCAAAACCAAACCUGAUUACAAAUUUCUCAAGGUCUUUGGUUGUUCAUGCUUUCCAUUCUUAAGGGAUUAUAAUACUCACAAAUUCCAUUUUCAUACCUCAAAAUGUGUAUUUCUUGGUUACAGCCCUUUACAUAAGGGUUACAAGUGUAUGCAUUCUUCUGGAAAGAUUUUUAUAGCCAGUCAUGUGUUAUUUGAUGAAACUUCUUUUCCUUACACAUCAAAUUCACAAUUCUUAACUUCAUCAUUCAAACCCUCUGAUUUCCAUUACAGUCUUCUUCAAUCUUGUACUGUUUCACUUCCCAAUAGCAAUCAAGAAACCUUUGAAGCUAGCUCUGCAGAAAAUGAAGCUCCAUCUCAUCAUUUCAGUGAUCAUUCCUCACCUGACAGUCAUAAUACAACCUUUGAUGUUUCACCUUCUCAAAUACAUCUUCAACCCUCUACCAUAGCUACUUCACAAACACAACAGCCAUCCUCAUCUACUAUUCAAUCCACACAACCAUCCUAACAUCCUCUGCCGAAUCAUCCCAUGAUUACCAGAGCAAAAGCUGGUAUAUUCAAGCCUAAAGCAUUCUUAACAUCACAUAACAGCCUGGAACCAUCUACUGUUGAUGAAGCUUUGUCUGAUUCUAAGUGGAAAGCUGUAAUGCAAUUAGAGUUUGAUGCUUUAACCAGAAAUAAUACCUGGAAUCUAGUACCUAUGACAUCUCAGCACAAGUUGGUUGGUUGUAAAUGGGUCUUUAGAACCAAGUACAAUACAGAUGGUACAGUUUCUAAACACAAAGCAAGAUUGGUAGCCAAGGGCUUUCACCAGGCAGCAUGAGUGGAUUAUAAGGAAACUUUUAGUCCUGUGGUAAAGUCUUCUACAGUAAGAACUAUACUAAGUUUGGCAGUGAUGAAAGGUUGGAAAGUCAGGCAAAUCGAUAUAAAUAAUGCCUUUCUUAAUGGAGAUAUUUCAGAGGAUAUAUACAUGACACAACUAGAGGGCUUCAUCACCAAAGAGGGCUAUGUCUGCAAACUUAGCAAGGCUCUUUAUGGCUUGAAGCAAGCUCCUAGAGCUUGGUAUGACAAACUCAAAGGGUGUCUUACAAGCUGGAAUUUCUUCAACUCCAAGGCUGAUACAUCCUUGUUCAUCAGACAUGACACGAGAGGUAUCAUUCUUGUUCUUAUCUAUGUGGAUGAUAUUCUUAUUACAGGACCAGAUUCUUCCCUGUUGGAAACAUUCAUCACUAAAUUUAGUAAGGUUUUUGCCUUAAAACAUUUGGGAUUGGUAUCCUAUUUUCUGGGUGUUGAGGUGUGUUAUACUGAUAGUGGGAUGCAUUUAUCACAAACAAAAUAUAUUAAAGACCUCUUAAGUAGAGCUUCAAUGCAGAACUGUAAAGGUUCUGAUACACCUCUCAGCACAGGUCAAAAGUUAGAAAAGGUAGCAAAGGUCUGUUUGGGGAAAGAAUUUGAAGAUCCAACUCUCUAUAGAAGUAUUGUUGGAGGGCUCCAAUACUUGAUACUCACCAGACCUGAUAUUGCAUACUCAGUUCAUAAGCUCAGUCAAUAUUUGAGUGCUCAUACACUUCAGCAUUGGCUUGCUUGUAAGAAAGUACUUAGAUAUCUUCAAGCAACUGUCACUCAUGGAAUAUAUAUUCAGAAGGAAGGAGAGCUUGAAGUUACAGGUUUGAAUGGAUACUCAGAUGCAGAUUGGGCUUGUAAUACAGAUGAUAGAAAGUCCAUUGGAGCAUAUUGCAUCUAUCUUGGCAACAAUUUAAUUUCAUGGUCCUCUAAGAAACAAGCCAUAGUGGCCAAAUCCAGCACUGAAAGUGAGUAUAGAGCACUGUCAUCAGCAAGUUCAGAAAUCUCUUGGCUUGAAUCUCUAUUUUCUGAGCUCAACAUUGUAAAGCUGCCAACACCAGUGCUUUGGUGUGAUAAUCAGAGUGCUGGGGAAUUAGCCAAAAAUCCUGUGUUUCACUCCAGGUCUAAGCAUAUCGAGUUGGACAUUCAUUACAUUCGAGAUAAGGUACUUCAAAACCAAUUAGAAGUGAGAUACAUUCCUACAGAUGAACAAGUUGCUGAUGUCCUCACCAAAGCUUUAUCACUUCCAAAAUUCAGCUACUUCAGGUCCAAGCUCAAUGUCGUUAGCAGACCCUUGAGCUUGAGGGGGGAUGUUAAGGAAGUUAAGGAAGCUCAUAUUUGCAGUCAAGCAGAGGAUCACAGAGCAAAGGAUCACAGCAGCUUCUAUAAUCAGUUGCAAGUUGAUGACAUGUACUGCCAGCUGGCACCAGGUGGUUAUGUAGCUGCUUGUACUCGUACACGUGAUAAGUUUGUUAAUCAAUUUGUAAUUAGUUAGUUAGUUUUGUAACCAUCAGCUGAGAAGCAACACUUGUAUAUAUAUGCUUGUAAUCGUUCAGUAGCAUUUAAGAAAAAAGCUUGAGAAAAUAAAAGAAGAAAGUUUUCUAAAUCUCAGUUUAUUUUCUUAUUAGCCAAACACUCAUUUUCUGUUUUAUAACUGCGUGCAAACCACCGAAUCCCCUCUGAAGCUAACUUUGGCGUGCAGCUCUUCGAUGAUUGGCUUUUUUUUUCUUUUUUUUUUGGUUGUGUUUUUUUUUGGCUCCUAGUUUGAUUUAACUUUGUUUCGGUUAUUGACAUUGCUGAAGAGGCAGUAAAAGCUUGUUGAAUGUCAUCAAAUGCACAAAUUGGCAAUAUCGGUUGGCUUCUUUAUAGGCGCAUCCAUCACAAAAUGAAAGUAACAACAACCACCAUCGAAAAUUAAUUUUAAGAAUCUUUUUUACCUGAAAUCUUUGAAAAGAAAAAUUAACCUGACAUUUAUUUAUUUAUUUAUUUUUUGGGGGCAAAGAAAGAAAGGAACAGAAUUAUGAGUUUUGGAAAGGAGAAUGAGAAAAUUGAACAGAUGAGAAAAUGGAUAAUUAACCAGAAUGAAUUUGCGAUUGGUCCAGCAAGCUUAGUAGAAAUCACGCGCUGAUACUUCAUUGACCAAUGACUAAUAAUUUGGCAAUUCACCCAUCACCAGCACUUGGUAAGCAAAACGAAAAUGCUUAGUAAGUGUCAAGGGUCAGGCAAGAUAUGACGUAAAAUGAGGCAAGUCUCCCCACUUGUUGUUCCUUGCAGCUAAGAAAAGAAAAAACAGAGCCCACCACCCAUUAAUAAUUUAGCAAUUCACCAAUCAAUCACCACCACUUGUUACGCAAUUCCAUUAGGUAUUCGUUUGUCAAGCAGUUAAUCCAGUGUCUAUUACCUAGAACCUUCACUUUACAAAUCUUCAUCUCAAAUGCCAAGUUAAAUCAAAACGUUUCUCUCUCACUCUUUCUUUUUAAACUCCGAAAACGUUUCUUUUUAGAAAUAUUUUACUUUAUUCAUGUAAAUAUGUUGUCUAACAAAUAGACACAAUUGAAAUCACUCUAAAGUGCAAAUAAAAAAAAAAAUCCAAUCACCAGUAAUUUAGCAAGCUUCACUUUAUUCCACCAAAGUGUAAAUAAAACCAGGCCUCACCGCCAUUAAUAGUUUUACAAGCUUCACACGCUUGUUGUUGUCUGCUUGACGAACUGGACAUGGGUUCAUCAAGAAUCAAUGAAAGAAUUAAAAAAAAAAAACUGAAAUUUUCGAUUCAGAGUAGAACAGUAAUUAAUGCUAAAAUUUACUCCGCUAACAUUUUCAAGAUAUUGUUCUGUAUAAUUCUACAGCAAAUAAGACUAAGUUUUGGACAUUUUCAAAUUCACUACUUUCACAAGCAAUAUUUUGAAACAUUUUACAGAAUUAGCGAUUAUAUAAAGAGAAAAAUGCAAAGUUGCGUAAUUCUAAUGUUUUUCAGGCUGAGCUGCCUUUGGAUUUAACCUGAAAUGAUCCGAAGGCCAGAAAUUGUAACGGCGGGCUUAAAUGUCAACACGCCAAGACAGUUAAUAGCAGCUAAAUUGGAAAAAAAAAAAAAGGCAAUAGAAGUAUAGAUGGAACAAUUUUUCGCUUAGGUCAUAGGUGCAAGAUGAAACUAAAAAAAGGUGGCAGGCAAUUUUAUCACAGACGCUCAUGAUCGUUUUUUAUUUGGGUCGUCAACUCGCCAUGACCCAUGAUUGAAUUAGAGUGUCUAGAAAGAAAAUUAAUAAAUAACGGUUUAUAUAUUUGGCCGUCGGAAUAUUGUAAGUGAGAAAGAUUAUCUUUUUUUUUAUUAUUAUUAAUUAGGUUAGUAUUUAUGAUUGAGUGACUCAGAGCUGUAUUUUAGAUUGAGAAUCAAUUGUUCUCUCAUACUGAGAGGCUAUAAGAUUGUCGUUAGCUAUUUCAUCGAUAAGAGAACACCCAAAUUUAUUAAAAGAAGAAAUGUAUAAGGUCUCCUUUAUGAGAAAAUGUAUCUGAUCAUUCUUUUUGACUUGAAAAUCUCAUAUAUAAAAACUUAUUAAUAAAUAACAUAAUAUAUAUAAAAAUGAUACUCAAUGAUCCUGUACUAAAACUAUAAUUUACCUGCACUAGUAGUUUCCAUAAUUUUCAAUUCAAAAGUAAGCAGUUGAACGUGCUCUCUCUUCUGGUUAUAGAUAUCAUAUAUAUAAAUUGAAGUAAUCGCGCGACAAGUAGCAAAACAGAUAAUGCACGGAAGAUAAUGAUCAAUGGCUGAAGUUUAAUUUAAUUGCAGAUAAAAUGUCAAUCAAGAUUAAGGUCUACUUACAAUUUUAUUUUAUUUUUUAUGAUUUUCAAUCUUUACCAAAAGAAACAUAUUUAGUGAUCCCUUUUAUCAACUUGCUUUUAUUGACUUUCUUCCAAUAAUAGAAGUGAAAAGAGAAACAAAGGCCACCACCACCAAGUGUUACCGGAUUCUAUAAAGACAAAAUCAGUGCCCAGCAAAACGAAUCCAACUUUUCGUUAUGUGUUGCUUCCUAUUUAGUACAUGCACAUAUAGAUAUAAGAUAUCCACAUGCACAUGCAGCGCGUCUAUCUAAAAUUUUAAAAACAGAAUUAGAAACCUUCUUGAAUAGGAAUAGAAAUACUCUCUAAUACUUCCUAAAAUAAUUAACCCUAAAUAAUUUGUCCUGCAUCACCAAACUCCGGAUUUUACAAAGCACGCAUAAAGGAUAAUAGACACGUUUGAGGUUUUUUUUUUAAAAGAAAAAAAGAUUAUGAAAAUAGACAAAUAAUGAAGACACAAGUUAAGCAGAGCAAAUAAAUAGAGGAGAAUGAAUUAAAUACUAUCCUUGAGAACUCAAUUCUUUAAUAAACUCAAUUUUUUAAAUGCAGGGGUAAACUCAUGUCAUAUACUGUAGUCUUUAAUUUGGGCUUUGUUGUAUCAAUUUUUUGGAGUUUAUCUUGUUUUGUUUUUUCGUUUUUAUAGUGCAAGAUUUUCGGUGGAGAUAAAUCAGGAAUAAGAGUGAAAUCCCAAUCUUAAAAUUUGGGAGAAAUGAAAUGCGAUAUGUUUUUUCAUGAAUAAAACAAUUCAAUUUUUUGUUAGCACUUGUAUAUGUUGCAAGUUAAUUACACCGUCAACACCUGCGGGAAAUUUAUAUAUUUUCUGUCAGCACUUGCAUACGUUGCAAUUUUCAAUGACUUCCAAAUCUUCAUAUCAUGAAUUAGCAGGAUUCAGGUCCGACCAACUCCCCGUGGCUAAAGCAAAGGAUUAAUUUUUGAGAAAUUAUAAAGAAAUUAAUACAAGUAAAGUGAGCCUAUUCAUUUGAUUUGAUAAUUGGCUGAGGGUGAUUUCGAUAACGUUUUCAAAGAAGAUAUAGAACAAAGAUCAAAAAGAAAAAACAAGUAAUUUCAGUCGAUGGAAGAAAUGAGCAAGCUUCGCACAUGCAUGCAUGCGUCUGACUAACAGGACAUGGCUUGGAGCAAGGAUCAAUGGACAAGUUUGAGGUUUAUGAAAUAUUGGGAAAACAGACAAAUUAUAAAGCCACUUGUUAGAGUGCAAUUUAUGCACUAGUUUUGCAUUGUUUACUUCCCUUAAUAUCGAUGUUUUGCAUUUAAUAAUAGUGAUUUACUUGUGUUUUACUUUUGUAGGUGCAAUUCUAUUGAUUGGUGAUAAAAUUGAGCUAUAAGAUGAUGUUUAAGGAUGAUUGUUCUCUUGGAGAAAUUAUGAGCGGCAGAAGAACUUUGUUGAUAAGGCGUGGGCGCGUGCUGUCAACUGCGGACCUGCAGUUUUUAGUUUAACGUGUUUUGUAUUUUUGGCUAUUUUUUAAUUACGAAUUUAAUAUUUCAAAUAUUAGUAUUUUAUUUUAAAUAGAACUCUAAAAGAGAAGAGAGAGAGAGUAUUUAAGGGAGGAAUCUAUUGUGAAAAAGGAGGGAAUUUUGAUUGGAGAAAAAGAAAAGAAACCCUAGAUCUAAUUUUUCUCUUCUCUCUAUGAAGAACUAAACUUAUUUUUCUGGUUGAAGAAUAAUGAAGCUUUGAUUCAUCACUACUGUGAGAUCUUUCUUGUGCUUUAAUUGUUUUAUUGCUUUUUGGGUAUUUGUUUAUUCUCUGAAUUAUUUUCAUGAUUAUGUUUGUUAAUUAGAUAAUUGGCCACUAUUUAAUUAUCAACUUAAUCUAUUGUCAAUUAAAGGAUUCAUCGUAUGAAGAAUUUAAUGUUUGUGACAAAUAACAUAGCAGAGAGUUGUGUUGUGAGAAUAAACAAUCUAAUUUAAAUAAAUCAUCAUAUGUGUUGAUUAGGAUUUGGGUCUCUCUGGUUUUUUAGGCUGUCAAUUGAUUAAAUCCUAUGAUCGUAUCUAGGGUUGUCUAUUGAUUAGGGAAAUAUCCAACGGUCGUACCUUGGUUAUCGACUAAUUAAGGAGAGAUUGGCUAUUAGAGGGUCUCAGUAGCUAUAACCAGUCUAUUCAUAAGUAAUAAUAAUUUAUAUUUGAAUCAAUGAUCAGUAGUCGAAUCAAGCUGAGUUAAUUCCUUCAACCAAAGCUUUCUCCAAUUUGAAUCACAACUUUAAUUUACAUUCUUGUUAUUUUAAUUUGAUUUUUAUUAUUGUCAACAAUUCCCCCAUUUUACAUUUUACGUUUCAAAAGGAUUUAAAUAAUUACCGAUCUCUGUGGACACGACCCUGCUCAAUCACUAUACACAAUUUAUUUAGAGUAGGAAUUUAUUUUUGUUGGCUUCGACAACCAUCAAAUUUUGGCGCCGUUGCCGGGGAUUGGUGUCAUUUAUUUAAUCCUUUUUACGUUUUACUUGGUGUAUGGUUCGUUCUUCUCGUACAGGUACACUUUCGUUUGAUCCUGAAAUUGAGAAGACAGCUCGCCAGCUGAGACAGCAGACGAAGCGAGCUAAGCAACGAUCCUCGUCGCCUUUGCUUUCUGAAACAGAUACGGUGCCUGAUUUAGUUCAAUCAUCUAGCGAUUCGGAAGAACAAGUGAUGAAUAGAGCUGCACCUGUAGAAAGAACUCUUAGAGAGUUAGCUGAACCAGACUUGAAUCAGCAACCACUCUGCAUUCAAUAUGUAGACUUGGAGGUAAAUUUUGAAUUAAAGUCUGGUUUUAUUCAUUUAUUACCCAAGUUUCAUGGUUUUGCAGGUGAAGAUCCUCAUAAACAUCUUAAGGAGUUUCAUGUUGUAUGUUCAAGUAUGAGACCACAAGGCGUGACUGAAGAGCAGAUUAAGCUGCGUGCUUUUCCGUUCUCUGUAGAUGGGCUAGCUAAAGAUUGGUUGUACUACUUGCCUCUUGGAUCGAUUACAACGUGGAAUGGUUUGAAGAAGCAGUUCCUCGAGAAGUACUUUCCUGCUUCAAGAGCUGCCAACAUCAGAAAAGAUAUUUGUGGGAUCAGACAACUUCCUGGGGAGACUUUGUAUGAGUAUUGGGAGCGAUUCAAACAAUUGUGUGCCAGUUGUCCUCAGCAUCAGAUUUCUGAUCAACUUCUUAUUCAAUAUUUUUACGAAGGACUGUCAUUGAUGGAUAGGAGUAUGAUAGAUGCUGCUAGUGGAGGCGUGUUAGUGAACAAGACCCCUACUCAAGCAAGGGAGUUGAUAUCAAAUAUGGCUGCCAACGCACAACAAUUUGGCAGCAGGCAAGAUCCUACUUCAAGGAAGGUGAAUGAGGUAAAUAUUUCUUCUGUUGAACAACGUUUAGAUAAACUUACUUCUCUUGUGGAAAAGUUUGUUGUAGGCAAUGUGCAACAGGUGAAGACUUGUGGCAUUUGUUAUAAUAUGGGUCAUUCAACUGAUAUGUGUCCUACACUUCAAGAAGAACCUGUUGAACAAGCCAAUGUAGUUGGAGGAUUUCCAGGCAUGCCUCAGAGGAGGUAUGAUCCUUAUGCACAAACAUACAAUCCGGGAUGGAAGGAUCAUCCCAACUUCAGCUAUGGAGUUAGGCCGUCAGGAUUCCCACAACAGUAUCCACCAAGACAACCAGCACCUCCACAGUCAACCUCCAAGUCAGGUAUAUCUCUUGAAGAAAUUGUUAAAUCGCUUGCGACUAAUACUCAACAAUUUCAGCAGGCAACUACAGCAAGCAUUCAGAACUUGGAGAACCAAAUGAGUCAAUUGGCGACUACAGUGAGCCGUCUGGAGUCUCAAGUAUUAGGGAGAUUGCCUUCACAAUCUGAGGUGAAUCCAAAGCAAAACGUUAGUGUUGUCAUCCUUAGAAGUGGGAAGGAGUUGCAAGAGCCUAGUAAGAAAGUGACAGAGCAUGUAGAAGAUGAGCUUAAGAAGAAUGAAUUGAUGCCUCAAUCUCAAGAUGCACAACCCACCAGAGUGAAACCCCUACCUAUUGUGAUACCUCCUCCUUUUCCAAGCCGGUUUGCAAAAUCCAAGAAGGAGGAACAAGAGAAAGACAUCCUUGAGACAUUUCGCAAGGUUGAGGUAAAUAUUCCUUUAUUAGAUGCUAUUAAACAAAUACCUCGAUAUGCUAAAGUCCUUAAGGAACUGUGCACCUCUAAGAGAAAAUUAAGAGGAGAUGAAAAAGUUCAUAUGGGGGAGAAUGUUUCAGCAGCUCUCCAAAAGAAAUUACCUCCCAAGUGCAAGGAUCCAAGUAUGUUUACUAUCCCUUGCAAAAUUGGUAGUGUUAGAGUCGAGAAGGCUAUGUUAGAUCUAGGAGCUUCUAUUAAUGUCAUGCCUCGUUCCAUUUAUUCAUCUUUGAAUGUUGGUCCAUUAAAAAAAACUGGCGUGAUAAUUCAACUAGCUGAUAGGUCUAAUGCAUAUCCUGAUGGGGUAUUAGAAGAUGUCUUAGUACAAGUUAAUGAGUUGGUUUUUCCUGCUGAUUUUUAUGUACUUGAUAUGGAAGAUGAUAACUCCUCUAAUUCUGUCUCAAUUUUGCUAGGAAGACCUUUUCUUAAGACUGCUAGAACUAAAAUGGAUGUACAUAAAGGGACUCUCACUAUGGAGUUUGAUGGAGAGGUUAUAGAAUUCAAUAUGAAUGAUGCCAUGAAAUAUCUUAGUGAGGAACAUUCGGUAUUUUCUGUGGAUGUUAUUAACCCUAUAGUGCAGGAAGUUUUUUACAAGAAAAAAACGAAGACAUUUCAUGAUAGAAUGAUUUUGAGAAAGGAGUUCUCUGUUGGUCAAAAAGUUCUUCUUUUUCAUUCUAAGCUUAAACUUUUUCCGGGUAAAUUACGUUCUUGCUGGGUUGGACCUUUUAUUAUUACUAAUAUUUUUCCUCAUGGUGCAGUUGAGAUUCGGAGUCCGACCUCUGACAAAGUUUUUAAGGUUAACGGUCAUCGCUUAAAACCUUUUUAUGAAGGUUUUUCGGUGAAUAUUGUGGAGGAUGUGGCUCUCGAGAGUCCCAAUUAUGGAGAUUGAUGCAUAAAUGUGUCUAGCCAAAGACAUAAAACAAAGGCGCUUUUUGGGAGGCAACCCAAAGGAUUUAUUUAUUUUGACUUUUGUUAUAUCUUUUAUUUUUAAUUUAGAUUUAGAUUUUUUUUUAUAAUGUUUUUGCUUAUUUUGGUCAGAAGAAAAUUUUUGAUAAGGCGUGCCCACGUCUUAACUAAUAAGUACUUUUGUGAUUUUUAAAGUAAAAUGGUUUUAAGGCGUGCCCACGUCCUUAUUAGAAAAGUACUUCUGAAAUUCUUUGUGUCUCAAAGUGAUUCAUCACUAAAAAAAAAUUAUUUAUUUAUUUGAAAAUUAAAAAAAAGGAAAAAAAAACUUUUUUUUCCUUUCUUUUCUUGCUUUUUUAUAUAUAUUUUUUUAUUUGAAAAAAAAACGAAAAAAAAUUUACUGUUCAUAAAAUCCCUAAUUCACAGAAUUGGUUUUCUUCUCCAGCUUUCACCGACCAGCCCACGCAGCAGCAGCAGCACGCAGAACCAGCGUCAGCCCAGCCCUCGCGUGCAAUCAACCCCAGCACGCAAAUCCAGCAGCCCACUAGCGCAGCAGGACCAGCCCCAGCAGCGCACAGCAGAAUCAGCCCCAGUGCACAGCAUCCCGCACGCAACCAGCGUCACCAGCGCGCAACCAGCAAUCCACCAUCGGGCCAAGCUCCAGCCGAGCAGUAAUCGUCCGCAACCAGCCUACGCCCUUAUUCCAGCCGGGUGAAUCGAAAUCCGUGAGUGAAAUUAUUGUAACAAUGCCGAAGAGGAAAGCAUCAACUUCCAAGUCAUCUAAAAAGACACCCGUCGCAAAGAUAUCCAAGAUUGCCGCUCUCAUUACAGUUUCAUGGAACACAGUUUCAGAUUCACGCCGAGUCGUGAGACAAAGAUCGAACCAUGGAAAAGGCAUGAGUGUUUUGCCACUUGCGGAAUCCAAUCUCGGAGGGUGCCUUGAAUUUACGACUCAACAAGAGAAAGAAAGUUUACUGAACCAGGACCCACUCAACCUCCAAAGAAGCUUUAUGCUAGAAGUGGUGCUACCUCUGAUGACGAGUUUGACGACGACACUGCUGCCCCGCCGACUAUUCCUUCUACAUCCACACCACCUUUGAGCAUUCAGUUAGAGAAAAUGGAGCCCAAGUUGAACAAGAUGGAGCAGAAUUUGGCCGCAUACUUCAAGAGUGUAGGAUUUAUCCCACCAUUUCCGCCAAGCCCAUAGACGUUAUGAGGAUCAAAGCUCACAAUUCAGGGAAGUUUUUGCCUUUAAUCUUUUAUCCUUAUGCUUUAAUUUUUAUGUGAGCUUUGAUUAUCUUACAUUGGGGACAAUGUAAGUUCUUGGUGUGGGGGAGGGAUUUUUGCAUUAUUGAUGUCUGGAAGUAUUAUUUUCACUCUACUAAUCUAUUUUCAUUCUACUCAUCCUUAAAUGAUUUUGGAGUUAGUAUGCUUCAUAUAUUAUUAUUUUUCUUUUCUUUUCUUUCUCACUACUCUUUUUCCAUCUAUCUCAAAUUAUUUACAUCUAUUUUUAUUCUAUCAUACUCUUUCAUCACUCACAUUUUAUCUUUCACUUUUCAUAUUACUACAUACAUCUUUCUCACUUCUUAUCAUUUUUACCUUUACUUCACUCAUACAUUCUUCUCAUUCUACACCACUAUUGAUGGUUGAUUCAUUUGAAGAGUGUACAUGAUUUGAUGGCAAAUUUACCAACUUUGUGAGGAUUUGAGCCAAUGAGCAACCACUUUGCUCUAAUUAUUUUUGUUAUGUGAAUAUCAAUCUUAGUUUGUUUAUUCUAGAACUUGCUUUGUUAUGCAUGUUGAAGCCACAUUACGGGAUUUUUUGCAUUAAAAUGAUAAGGGCAAACCAUUUGCCAUUUUUCUAUUCUCGCAUUUUCCUUUUUCUCUACCCGAAGACCUUUAUUUGCUACCUUUGUUUGAGCCUUAACCAUUACCCAUCUAAUUCUCUCCGUCUACUUAACCAUUUUUCUUCUUUUUGAGCCUCAAUUUAAAGAGAUUUUUGGACUCAUUGUGUGGAUAUAUUUUGUUGCUUUUUCUACCUUGUAUUAAAGUUUCUCAAUUAGAUCAACAAGCAUUAUGCUUGAAUUAAAUUGUGCAAGGUUCGUUUCUUUUGUUUGAUUAAAAAACAAAACAAAAAAAAAGAAAAAAAAGAACAAAAAAAAAAGAAAAAAAAGAAAAAAAAAAGAAGAAAAAGAAAAAUAAAAAAAAAGAAAAAAAAAGUUUACAUUCUUGGUGACUUGAGUAGAAAUAAGCAUUUUGAUAUCACAAGUUCAUUCAAUGAGUUCAUUCUUCUCAUUUUAAUCUCUUUUUCUUUCGUAAACCUUUCUUUUCCAUUCAACCUAUUUAACCUCAUUACAACCCUUAGAUUUUUGCAUUUUAUUCAUGUUUUGUGGAUUGAGAUGUGAUAUAUGAGCAAGCUUAUGGUAAUAGCAUUCUUUGAUUUGAUUUGAGUGCAUAAAUGAUACCCUAAACACUUUGAGUGCAUGGAGUGAAGUUAUUGAGAGGGCUAUUAAAUCUUGUUGCACUUGAAUUUUGAAUGGAUCCUCUUGGUGGUUGAAUGUUCUUAUUCUAUCUUAUGAAAUUCUAUGCUCUAAAAUCCUUGUCUCUCGAAUGUUGAUCGACUUAAUUUCUUGAGGUAUGCUUGCUUAAAAUUGUUUUUGGAUGAGUUGAGAUGAGAAUUGAGUGGAGAUUUGAGAUUAAUCUUGAGUUAUAUGCUUGAGGACAAGCAUCAUCUUGGUGUGGGGGAAUUUGUUAGAGUGCAAUUUAUGCACUAGUUUUGCAUUGUUUACUUCCCUUAAUAUCGAUGUUUUGCAUUUAAUAAUAGUGAUUUACUUGUGUUUUACUUUUGUAGGUGCAAUUCUAUUGAUUGGUGAUAAAAUUGAGCUAUAAGAUGAUGUUUAAGGAUGAUUGUUCUCUUGGAGAAAUUAUGAGCGGCAGAAGAACUUUGUUGAUAAGGCGUGGGCGCGUGCUGUCAACUGCGGACCUGCAGUUUUUAGUUUAACGUGUUUUGUAUUUUUGGCUAUUUUUUAAUUACGAAUUUAAUAUUUCAAAUAUUAGUAUUUUAUUUUAAAUAGAACUCUAAAAGAGAAGAGAGAGAGAGUAUUUAAGGGAGGAAUCUAUUGUGAAAAAGGAGGGAAUUUUGAUUGGAGAAAAAGAAAAGAAACCCUAGAUCUAAUUUUUCUCUUCUCUCUAUGAAGAACUAAACUUAUUUUUCUGGUUGAAGAAUAAUGAAGCUUUGAUUCAUCACUACUGUGAGAUCUUUCUUGUGCUUUAAUUGUUUUAUUGCUUUUUGGGUAUUUGUUUAUUCUCUGAAUUAUUUUCAUGAUUAUGUUUGUUAAUUAGAUAAUUGGCCACUAUUUAAUUAUCAACUUAAUCUAUUGUCAAUUAAAGGAUUCAUCGUAUGAAGAAUUUAAUGUUUGUGACAAAUAACAUAGCAGAGAGUUGUGUUGUGAGAAUAAACAAUCUAAUUUAAAUAAAUCAUCAUAUGUGUUGAUUAGGAUUUGGGUCUCUCUGGUUUUUUAGGCUGUCAAUUGAUUAAAUCCUAUGAUCGUAUCUAGGGUUGUCUAUUGAUUAGGGAAAUCGACUAAUUAAGGAGAGAUUGACUAUUAGAGGGUCUCAGUAGCUAUAACCGGUCUAUUCAUAAGUAAUAAUAAUUUAUAUAUGAAUCAAUGAUCAGUAGUCGAAUCAAGCUGAGUUAAUUCCUUCAACCAGAGCUUUCUCCAAUUUGAAUCACAACUUUAAUUUACAUUCUCGUUAUUUUAAUUUGAUUUUUAUUAUUGUCAACAAUUCCCCCAUUUUACAUUUUACGUUUCAAAAGGAUUUAAAUAAUUACCGAUCUCUGUGGACACGACCCUGCUCAAUCACUAUACACAAUUUAUUUAGAGUAGGAAUUUAUUUUUGUUGGCUUCGACAACCAUCAAAUAAACAGAGAAAAUAACCGAUCAAUUCUUUGUGCAGUGGCCACAGCAACAGCGAAAAUAUGUCUGCAUGACUACAUUAAUUAAUCCUACCAUCACCAUGCAACAUUAAAUCAACAUUUGAUCAUCUAUCAAUUUUCAUGAUAUGAGAUUAGAAACAUUGAGUUCAUAAUUUCGUGUAAUUUCAUGUACUAGAUGUAUAUAAUUGAUUUGAGUUAGUUUAACAUCUAAAGAAAGAGUAAUGGGGAAUGAUGUCGAUGUGGCAUUUGAUGAGUAAUGAUAGACAACAAAUACUGAUCAUGUAAGAAUGAAGUCUGUAUUUACUGAAAAAUAUUUGGCAAUAAAAUGAUGCUUUAAAAAAUUAAUAUUAGUUGCACGAAAAUAAAUUGGCAACUAAAAUUAAUAGAUAUAUAUCCAAUGCUUCGAGUUUAUUUUAUCACUUCGCUAACAAUUUUGUAACUACAUUUUAAUUAUAAUGUCGAAAAGAGAUUUGAUUUUUGUAUUAAAAAAAAUUAGAAAUGAAACAAGUCAAAAUCAAUCAUAAGAACAACAAUAAGAGCAUAUUUUAUAAAAACCACAAAUACAUAAUAUAAAUUUAGUUUCGAAUUAGGUGAUUAUUAAUUUACAUAGUAAGAGAGUCUUAUAGAAAAAUAGGAAUUUUUUUAAAAGAGAUUUGCUUAAGGAACAAAUUUAGUAAAUUAACAAUCACCAAAUAUGGUAGGGUGGCAGGCAGAGGAAGCGUGGUUCCUAAUCCUAAUCUUGAGUGAUAACUGGCUAUGUAACAUGUGGCAUUCUACAUUCUUGCAAUGCCAUUAAUUUCUUGUUAUGGCAGCAGCGUUCUUUCAUCAUGGCAUCACAAGCAAAUGUUUGAUUUGAAGACUUGCUUAGCUGAGAAAAAUAAGGAGAGCAAAGGUAAUGAAUUUUGGUGUGAUAAAUAUUUUUAUGGAUGUACUAAGAAAAAUAAAGAUAAUAGAAGUGAUGUUAUUGAGGAGCAUUUUGAUAUUUACCAAAGUGUUCAAAGAAAAAAGUUAUUUUUUGAAAUCUAUUUGCUGGUGCACAUAACAAAAGGGCAUUCUGAGUAAAUUUAAAACUACAAAUAGUUUCACUCUUUUAACAAUAUUCUUCAAUUAAUUCUGUUUAUUUCAAAAUAAAUAUUCUAUCUCUUUAUUACUUUCUAACUAGUCAUGCUAAUAUGCUAAUAAUUAUGAAGAACUAGUGUAAUUUAUAUGAUAUAAGAAGCCCUUUAGCACAUUAACCCGAAUUUAGCUAAUACAUGUGCCUAAUAUAGCGAAAUCAACAUUCAGCGCAUUAGAGUGCCAUUAUAUAUAUUGAGAGAGAAAUUAACACAAAAAACUGAAUAUUAAUUGACACUGGAUCAUAUUGGAUUGUCAGUUGUUAAUUAUGAUGGGAAUACAAUCUUCAUCUUUUGAUUAUCAGCUAGCUAAUGCAUGUGCACUUUCAUUUGUGUCUAUCACUGAAAAGUAAAGUUGCUUGAUUGAGUAGUAUCAUAUCACAGGAACUCCAAACUCAAUUUCAUUGCCGGAGCAUACCAUGCCAUAUGUAGCUUAAAAGUGCAGCUAUCUUAUACUAAUUAUUUAAUACGACUAUUAGCUCUUUAUGAUUAAUUAAAAGAGAAAAUGUUUGACAAUCACGAAAAUAAUAACAAUUCACUCCUAUAAACAACAUAACAAAUACAUGGUCUAUAUUGCAAAUCUUUUUAUGAUUAUAAUUAAAAGAGAAAAUACGAAGACAUAUUAUAUAUAAUAAUUGAAUGUUCUCCUUGAUAAUUAGACAAAAUAACACCAAUCUAGCUAAUUAAUCCAAUCAUCAUACUAAUUCAAUUUUCAUUAUUUAAUUAUGUCCAAUCAUGCUAAUUUAAUAAAGAGCACUGAACACUCGAGUACUUAUAUGUUCAGCAACUUUGGCCGAGUUUGAAAAAGAUUAGAGCUGCAUUUAUGCUUUGUGUUAUUACUUACGACAUGAUCAUAUUAUGUCGCAUUUGUCAGAGAACCGAAAACUGUGGGGGGAAAAAAAAUCCUAAAAGAGAUGUAACGAAAACAAAAUGAGAAAAUAAUGCACACACAUCAUAGCAAUGCUUCAUUCAUUUUGAUUCUAUCUAUACAAAAACUUGUAUCCGAUGGUUUACAUUUGUUUAAUCUAACGGCUAUAACAUGUAUACAGUCAAACGCUACUGCUGCCAUCUUUCUUUGUCCUCGUUGUAUCCUUGAUCUUAUAUUAUCCUGGUGAUUCUUGAAAGAUCUUCUCAUUCUCAUAUGCUGAGUCGCUUGCUGGGAUGAUUAAUACUCGAAGGUCCUUCAUUGAGACAUUUCAGCAAACACCUGAUUCAUUAUAUCAAACAUCUGCAUCACUAAUCGCUAAAAGAUAUAAAAUAGUUCUGUUUUGAAAAAUUGAUAUAAACCAGUCACCUUAGAUUUUCUUAGUCUCAGAGGACAACGGGUGAUGAUUCGAUGAGAAAUAUUAAUAUGCAUGCAUCCGCUGCAUUAGUUAGAGCUGCUUGUCAUUUUCUUCUUUCUUUUGGAUACUAUUUUAAAUUUUUAAUCAGUCUAAUUCAGCUGUAUGUUUGCUUUCAGUCCAAAUCGAACUCAGAUAUUAAGUACUUCUACAGGAAUGGACGCACCCAAAAAUCUAUGGGAUCCGUAGUUCUUGCAGAAGCGGCAGAAUGCUGCCAGCAAUUCAGGCAGAUAGAAGCUUGGUUGAGUGGUUGUUCUUCAAUGUGAAAUUCUACAUAAUGGGGAUCCUUUCAAUGGGGUUUAAAUUCUUUUUUUUUUUGAGUUGUUGAUUUAGAGCAGAUUAAGUAACAUGUGGCAUUCUAUAUUCUUGCAAUGCCAUUUCUUGUUAUGGUAUCAACAUUCUUGACCAUGGUUUGAUUUGCGUAAUUUUGCUUUCUGUUUUUGAUAUUUUCUUCGCAUUGUUGUUGUGGGAUUUGUAGAUAGUGUAUAUGUAUGAAGAUAACGUAAUAAAGUGCUUUUGAUAAAUUCCCCUGGUUUGUUUACUUCACUAAUUCAUUAAUGAGCAAGUCCUCUAUAGAGCUGUGUUGUGCGUACAAGUUUUGCUACAUGAAAUCGUUAGGUGAGGAGAAUUUUUAAAAGCAUACAUCAAAGUAAUGAUUAAAGGGACAAAAUCAACGUAAAUAUUGAUUAUCUUGAGUUAGAUUAUACAAAGAUGAAAUAAUGAUAAUCUAAUAAAUUUAUCAUAAUACACUACUCAAAAAUGCAUUUUAAUGACACAAAUUUUAUGACAUACAUCUUUAUGUCAUGAAAAUAUUUGCAUGAUGUAUAAUGCUUUCGUGAUUAUUUGAUGAUAAAUUCAUAAUUGCUGCUGAUAUGAAAUGAAGUGAUGAUAGGUAAAUAUUAUGCGAUUUUUUUUUUAUGGGUAAGAAUAUUUGAACCCACCAAAUUACUCUUUAAACUUAUUUUUUUAUUGAUAAUUUUAUUACAAAAUUACCGAUAAUUUGAAUUACUAUUACAGACAAACAAUAAUUAUAUAAAAUUAUUUUAUUUUUACUCAUUGUUUAAACCUACCGCAAAACUCAAUCAAAGUAUGCCUUUUUUUUUCUUCUGCAAGUUUUUAAUAAGUUCAUCCUUCAUCCACAGUUGAGAACUUUCUAAUUUUUUUUCUUGUUCUAGUAAUUUGGAUAUGCUGUGUUAGAUACUGAAUUUAUUAAAUUUCUUCUUCUCUUUUGAAUAAAAUCUCUUUAAAAUUCAAUUCAUAAAAAAAUAAAAAAUUAAUCUCCUUAUAAUUUAAUAUGUUUCAGCUGUCUUAGUGGAAUGAUGCAAUUUGUUUCCAUCAAAGUUUUGAAGCAUCCUGAAAUUUUGAGAUCGACAUGAUAACAAAUUAAUUUAAUUCAUGGUGUACUCUAAAUUUUCAGCCACAAAAAAAAUAGCCAAAUUGAAGUGUACCUGGGCAAGAAGAAACUGCGAUUAUACAAUUUCAGUGUUCGACUCUAUCAAUAAAAAAGAAAAUAAAAAAGAACUCUCAUUGUUCCAUUAUUUUUCCCAUAAAUAAUGAUAUACAGAGAAUUUAGUUUGAUAUGGGAUAUAAUAAGUAUUUAGGUGAGUUUAUAAAGUAAAUUUUAAAAUUUUAAAAUUUAGUAAUGGGUUUAUAAAUAAUUGAGUUCAUAUAAUAUUUUAAUAAAUUCAAAUAACCCACCCUUUUUUUUUUUAAAAAAAGAUCUAAUUACAAAAAUACCAUUCCAAUCGGCAGCAUUUUAUAUUUUAUUUUAUUAAAUAUUAUUUUAUUUUUAAAUUACUAGUGACGCAAGAAACGGCAUCAUUUAUUGAUAUUUUUAAAUUGUUUAAGAUUUGUUUAAUUAGAAAAUUGCCAUUGUUGAUAUUUAAUUAAUUUUAAAAAAUAAAAAUAAUAAAAUUGGUAAGCUCUACUCCAUAAGUGAUGAACGAAUUGACAAAUUUGCAGUAAGUGAUGAACGAAUUGAUAAGCUCUACUCCAUCGGCUCCUUAAUUGAGAAAAAACCCAAGCCCGUGCAGCGCAGCCUCACAAUUGAUAGAGACCCUAAGCCACCAAACUCGACAAUCAUCACUCAACGUCGUCGCAAGCUACCGGUCGCUCAACAAGCACCAGUUCCUUGCUCUACAGCCAUCGCUCAACCGCUGCCAUUACCUGUUAAUUAUUCGCUUGAAUUAGGGUUCUGAUAUUUUGGGAUUUUUUGUUAGUCGUGGAAUUAUGAAGCAAGGACGACGAUGACGAAGAUGUGGUGGUUGACGACGGCAAUGGCAACGUUGAAUAUUGAGGCACCGGAGGAAAAAGCAUUGGCUAUGUAUCUUGGUCGAUUUGCCUCGAAUUGAUCACUAAACAUGGGGAUAUCGUGGGCCGAGCUUCAACGCAGUGGCAAAUUUCAUUUGGGUAACUGAAUUUUUUUUUUGUUUAAUUUGUUUAGAGUUCAAUUGUUUAGAUCUAGGCUAAUUUUUAAUGAUAAUUUUUAUGAUUAAAUUAUAUGAGUAUGCUUAAAUUUUUUUUCCUUCAAAUUUAUUUUCUGAUGUUGCAUUUGGUUAGCAAAAAGAUAAAAAUAGUAGAAAAUGUCAGAAUUAUUGUUAUGAAAAUGUUGUUUUAGUCUGAUAUUGGGAAAAUAUCAUUAUACAUAUUGGCAUGAUAUUCAUGGGAGACAAAAUUGAGAAUGAUGACAGACUAUGCAUUGCUCACAACUAAUUUAAAACUCACUAUUUCUAUUGUUUGUGUUUCAGUAACUUUGGGGGAAUUCCAACUAUAGUUAAUAAGCUAUAAACUUGUUUAGGAUUGCUGAUCAAUUUGCUAGAAAGAGUUGCAAAGUAAUUAGCUUUCUCUUAUAACUUUUACAGAUCAUCUGUGGAGGAGAACUGCAAGGAGUUGAAGACUCUAGACCCUAAACUUCAUAUCUUGAUUUAUAAGUGCAAUGGGCAUAAGUCCGAAUUAUGGGCUGGAGAUGGUAUAUGUAAUCUUUCUACUCUUGGUGUUUUUUUUUCCUCUAGUUAUUUUUUGUUCUCUACUCCAUUGUAUAUUUGUAUUCAAAAGUAUUUUUUCUUUGUUUUAAGCUUUUAAAUUUAUGGAGAUGAUCUUAUUAGGUGUUAAAAAAAAUAGUUGUAGAGCUUUACUAAAACUAUGUAAACUCCUAUUGAGAUUUGGGUUUGAUUUUGUAAGAUUGCUAAAAAUUUCAUAUUUUAUACUUGUUUUAUACUUUUCUAGUUGAAUUUCUUGCUUGUGGAAGAUAAAAUAAAAGUCCAAUUCAUGUUGUAAAAUUUUUUUUCCUCCCUUCUUUCUUUCCUUAUAAUCUGGCUCUGGCUUUGGUGCUAUGCUUGGUGCAGUUUAUGGUUUCAAUGCAGGGAACCAAUUUCAUCAUAAUCAUCUUAAAGGAUCAAAAUGGCUUUCUUUUGUAACUGGGUAAGUCAAUGCUACUUCCUGAAUUCGAUUUGGAGUUCUUUCGGAAUAGAUUUCCUUCCCUUACAUCACUUGGCUUCUAGUUGCAUCUUCUUGGCUUUCUCCAGCGGACUUUUUUAUUGGCAAAAUUCCUUUGUUUCUAUUGUUUUCAAGUGCUAGUGCUGGAUUUAGAGGUAUGAAUGGUGCCUUCAUUUUUAUUUUUUUAUUUUUAUUUUGUACUGUAAUAUACUUCUUUGUAUAGCUAGUACAAAAUAGUUCUUCAACUUCUUACUUUUGGCUUUAAUGGGUUCGAUAUAUGAUAGCGGAGCCCUAUCAGCAUUUGAUGUCAGACAACAAAUAGGGGACAGAUGGGAUUAGAAAAAUAAGUAACAUGACCAAAAUAAAAAUCUAAUCUACUCAUAUAAGCAACUCAUCAAAUAAGUGUAUCACAUACUUAAGUGAAUAAGAUUCCGUGAUUUCUAGGAAUCCAAGUCAAAUUAUAACAUUCUUUAAAUAAGACUCACAAGCUUAUUAGGUGUUAUAUUGAAUCAUCUAAGUUGAAUAAUCUUUUGGGUUGAAUAUGUUAAUUUCUUAUUCCAUAUGUUUCAGCCUCUCAAUAGUUGAAUUAGCAAUGAAAAUUUGAAAAUGGAAAAACUCAGUGCAAUUAUUUUAGGUGCUUAUCAUAGAUAAGAAUUUCACUUUUUACACUUCAUUGUCUGUUGUCAAAUUUAUUAAGUAUGAACCCGGAUUAGGUUUGUGCUCUCAAGGAUUUAUAAAUAAGUGCUACUUGACUUAGAUGUAAGAAAAUUGAAAAGCAGAGUUGCUUGAUUGAAUAGCUUCAUAUUUUACAUCACAGAAACUCAAUUUUCAUUGCCAUAUGUAGCUCAAAAGAGCAUGAACAUUGAACAUUCAGCUAAUUUAUACUAAUUAAUUAACACAACUAUCAGUUCUUACUUCUUGGUACCCGGCAACAUCCAUCCAUAAGAGUGAAACCCCCAUUGAUUUCAUAUAUACAAAAUAAAUAACUUACAAAGACAAUACCUGACAAUCACAACAAAAACACUAAUUCACUCCAAUAAACAACAUAACGAAUACAUGGUCUAAAUUGCAAGUCUUGUUAUGAUUUUAAUUAAAAGAGAAAAUGUGAAGGACAUGUUAUAUAUAAUUGAAUGUUAUCCUUGAUAAUUAGACAAAAUAACACUAAUGUAGCUAACUAAUCCAAUCAUUGUAAUAAUUGGAUUUUCUUUUUUUAAUUAUGUCUAUUGAUGCUAAUUUAAUCAAGAACACUGAAUACUUGAGUGUUUUUAUGUUCAACAACUUUGGCUAAGUUUGAAAAGAUCAUAUUAAUUAUUAAUAUAAAUAAAUAAGCCAACAAGGUACAUAUUACAUAUAUGUGUAGUUGCAAUAAAUACAUAUGUAAUAAAGAUCAUAAAGCUCAGGGCCAUUAAUUCAACAUUACCAAAUCAAUAUCCCAAUAAUGGUUUGAUUACUAAUCUAAGCAUUAAAUGAUCAGCAAACUUUAUUUGGCCAAAACAAAUGCUUCCUUGUUGCCUCCUUGAUCUUUUCCUGGCUGGUGAUUCUUGAAUGUUCUUCUCAUUUUGAUAUGCUGAGUCGUUUGCUGAUUAUAAAUGCUAAUCACCUUAAAUUUUCUUAGUCUUCUUCUUCAUGUGAAAUUCUACCUAAUGGCUAUCCUUUUAUCUGGUUUGAAUUCUUCUUUUUUCUUUGAAUUGUUGAUUUCUAAUGUUCUUGUCAUUCGCACAUGUGGCGUUCUGCACUCUUGCAAUGCCAUUUCUUAUUAUGGCAGCAGCAUUCUUGGUCAUGGCAUCACAAGCAAAUGCUUUUGAAUUGCUUUGUUUGAUUUUUGUUUCUAAUAUUUUUUUUUUUUGGCAUUGUGGGAUACUGUUUCUCUUUUGAUUUUCUGUCUUUGUUGUUAUGGGAUUCUGGUAUAGUAUGCAUCAGUACACGUAUGAAGAUGAUGUGAUAAAGUGCUUUUGAUAAAUUGCCCCAGUCAGUUUACUUCACAAACCAACCAUUAAUGAGCAAAUCCUUCUAAUGACCCUUGUACACAUUAGAAUAAAUACAAUUCUAUAUAUACACAAAAAUAAAUAACUCUCAAGUAUAUUAUUUGAUAAUCGCAAAAGCAACAAUUCACUCCAAUAAAUCUUAUAACACACUCAUGGUCUAUGUUGCAAGUCUUUGUAGAGAAAAAAUGAAGGACACACAAUUGAAUUUUUUCUAUGAUAAAGAACUCUAAACAAAUUCAUCUACAUAUCGCAGUACCCCUUACAAAUUCAUUUGUUUCUUCUUUUCCUUUGAUCAAGUGCUAAUUACAGCCUUGAUAUUUCAUUUGGUUUUAGUUAAUUUUCUAUAGGGUUGUGUUGUGUGAAAUUAAUUACAAAACAAUCUUUAACGAAGUCUUAUGAAAAUACCAUAUUAUAACUACAAAGUUAGGCUUCCUAAUCAAGCUACUGUUCAUCAGAUUGUGUAUUGUGUUACUGGUGAGCUCUUAUGUCAAUUAUGACCAGACGGCGCCUUGGCUAACUGUGAGUUAUGUGCGAACAUAAGAGCUGCAAAUGAAUUAUGUACUAUUUUUAUGUGACAAGGUAUGUGCUCUGUUUUUAUGGUCUUUCUCUCUGUAGUUCCCUCUGUAGUUUUUUUUUUUUGGGAUACAUUGAUAAUAAAAUUAGAAGUCUACUAAUAUGUACAACCAGAAACCUAUUGGGGACUUUUUGUCUUUUGAUGCAGUUGUAGGGCACAGCUCAAAUAUUCUUUCCUCAUUUAAUAUUGGAGAAAUCCGACUCCCAAGCGAUUCUGUCUACGGUUGUUGGACAAACUGUAAUGUGAAUUUCUAUCUAAUGGGUGUAUCAUUCUUGCAGUCAGUUUGGGAUUGUUGAUAUAGAUAUGAUGUUUAGUCUCCAAAAUUCAGAUGAUGAUAAUCUUGUGAGUACUUUUUGUCAUAUUUUCUUUUGUGUUGGUGUUGGGAUCUUAAUUUUGUAUCCAAUGUUAGGACAAUAUGAACCCAUUUUAAGUGAUAUGAUGCAAGUUCAUGUUCAAGAAUCCAUUUAAUGAAACAUUCCAGUGUUUAAUAAUGAGUAAUUGGUUUAAGAUUAAUACCAAAUAUUUUAAGUAACAUGUGGCGUAUUCUAGUGAGAUCCUCCAACUCAGAUUUCUAACUCAAAUGGAAACGUUUCGAAUUUCUUCAGAACAUUCUGCAGAACGGUUCGUCUUGUCUUUACAGUUUCUUUUGUGAAUUUCUCCCAGUUUCUUUUGUGAAGACUUCUGAAUAAGCUUCCAGAUAUUGAGAUACAAUCCAAUCUAAGCCCAUACGUAUAUCCGCCUCACAUUUGUCCAUUUCCCCAGAAAAUCAAAAAGCACUUUAGUUCGAAACAAACACUCUAAAAAAAACCAUCUAGCUACCCAGAUGGCGAAAUCAAGAAUCUUGCAAUGGCAAUGCCAUUUCUUGUUAUGGCAGUAGCAUUGAUGAUCAUGGCAUCACAAGCAAAUGCUCUGAUGCCGUACACACGAUCACCUUUCUUUGACGUGAUGUUCCCAAUGACGGAAGAUCCUUUCAGGGUUCUUGAACAAACCCCGUUAACAACCCAAAAGGAGCUGAACAUCAUCAAACUCUAGCACUGGCGAGAGCAGACUGAAAGGAGACACCAACAUCACACGUGAUCACACUCGACAUUACAGGGAUGAAGAAAGACGAUGUGAAGAUUGAAGUUGAAGAGAACAGGGUACUGAGAGUGAGUGGGGAGAGGAAGAGCGAUGAUUAUUAUAAGGAGGAAGUUGAAGGAGAAAAAUGACACAGAGCUGAGAGAACAUUUGGCAAGUUUUGGAGGCAGUUUAGGAUGCCUAUGAGUGCUGACUUGGAUCAUGUUAAGGCUCAUUUGGAAAAUGGUUCUAAGGAUCACAGUGCCAAAACUUGCUGAGGGGAAGAAGAGGCAGCCUAAGGUUAUUAACAUUGAUGAAGAGCCUGGUAAUUCUUCCGGUGAAGAUAUUAAGGCCGCCAAGGCUCAAAUGUGAUUGAUUAAAGAAAGAAGUGCUUACUUUGCUUGAUGUGCUAUUUGUUUUGUAAUCUUUUCUUGGUUUUGUUGUGGGAUGUUUUUCUUUGGAUGUUCUGUUUAUUGUAUUUUGAUGGAUUUUUAAAGAUGGCUUGUAUGUAUUAACAACAAUAAAGUAUUUUUUAUAAAUCCGGGUCCUAAAUUUGUAAAAGAAAUUAAUAAUACGCUUGGUUUAUUGUUAAUAAAAAAAAAAAAGACGUCUCUUUUUCUUUAGCAUAUAUUAUGCAUUUUAAGGGAAAAAAAAUUAUCACAUUCUAAUUUAUAAAGCAUUCCUCUUCUGUCAUAUUAAUGUGUUAAUACGAAGGUCUAUUGGAAUUAUAAUAGUUUAGAUGAAUCCAAAAUAUUCAAUAAUUGAUAAAUAGUAUAUAUAAAUAUUAAUAGCAAUGGCACAUAAUCAAUUAAUUCAAGAACUUGCCCAUAGUGCAUUAAGUUAAAAGAGUAAAAAUAACAUUGCAAAACAGGCCAGACCUUACGUGUUUAAUUAGCAAUUGAAAACUACUUUACCGUACAACACCAUUAAGAGAUAUUUAUAACACUGUUGUUGAUGAGGCAGCUGUUAAUUCUUUUGGUGAAGAUGUUAAGGCCACUAAAGCUGGAACGUAAUCAGGGAAAUAUAAUGUAUUCACUUAGUUUGCUAUUUGUGUUUUUAUAUUUGUUUGGCUAAUUCUUUUAUCAGAUUGCUUUUUGUUUUUGAGAUUUUAUUGGCUUAGUCGUGGGAUAUUAUUUAAUCUUUUAAUUUUGUGUUUUUAUUGUUAUGGGAUUUGAUGAUGGCAUACAUAUAGGAAAAUUAUGUAAGAAAGUGCUUUUAAUAAAUUAUGGUCGGUUUACUAUUAAUUAACCAAAUUUAAUUUACUCAAAUUACUCCUAUACACGAUUAAAAUAAUUUCAAUUCCAUGAUAUAAAUACGCGCGUGCGGACACACAAAAUGUAAAUAACUUUCAAAUACAAAAUAUUUAAAAUAAUCAUCAUACUAACAAUUCACAAGUUAGAUUAUAUUAAGGCCACCAAGGCUUAAAUGUAAUUGAUUAAAGAAAGAAGUGCUUGCUUUGCCUGAUGUGCCAUUUGUCUAUGAUGUUUUCCUGGUUUUGUUGUGUGAUGCUUCUCUUUAGAUGUGUUGUUUAUUGUAUUUUGAUGGGUUUUUGAGGAUGGUUGUAUGUAUUAGCAACAACAAGGUGCUUUUUAUAAAAUCCGGGUUCUAAUUUUGUAAAAGAAAUUAAUACUCUCGGUUUAUUGUCAAUAAAAAAGAAAAAGGAAAAAGCCUUUUUCUGUGGCAUAUAUUAUGCAUUUUAAGGAAAAAAAAAUCACAUUCCAAUUCAUGAAAGACAUUCCUUCUGUCAUAUUGAUGUGUUAAUAGAAAGAUCUCAUAACAAUUUUGAUGAAUCUAAAUAUUUAAUAAUUGAUAAAUUGUAUUUAUAAAUAUUAAUGCCGGUGGCACAUAAGCACUUAAUUCAAGAACUCGCCUAUAGUGCAUUAAUUUAAAGAGUAAAAAUAUUUAAUAAAUCAUGCUUAGUUUACUAUUAAUUAAUCAAAUUUAAUUUACUCAAAUUACUCCUCUACAUGAUCAAAGUAAUUUCAAAUAUACAACACAGAAAAUGUAAAUGACUUUGAAAUAUAAAAUAUUUAAAAUAAUCACCCCACUAACAAUUCACCAGCAAGAUUAUAAAUAGUCGAAAUAAUGAUAAUCUAGGGGGUCCAGUCAUAAUAAUUUGAUUUUUAUUUAUAUUAAUUAUAUCAGAAAGAGUACUCGAGAUUAUAUAUAUCCAACAACUAAAAUUUCAAAACAAUAUUUGCCAAAGUCUGAUGAAGAGAAUACAUAUAUAUAUAACAUGCACUCGCACACAUUCUAUUGUUUAAUUAAAAAAUUCGAAAGCCCAUUAUAUACAUGAUAAAGACUCACCGACACCGAACCAUAUUCAUUUAAAGGAAUUGUUUUUAACUGAGAUUUGAAAUUAUAUACACAAACACACCUGUUUUUUUUUUUUAAAAAAUUACUAAUAAUAAAAUAUUUCGGCAAAACAAAUUUUGCCGAAAGCAAAAAGUCUGGUGAAAAGAAAUGUUAUGUGCAUAUAACCGUACAGGCGCAGCAGAAGGAUAAGUCAAAGAAAAACGAAGUUUCAAUAAGAAAUUAAUUACACAUUUACACUCAAUAAGAAAAUCAAUUCAUUACUUUCUAGCGCUUUUAUUUAAAAAGCGCAGUCUAUUUUUUAAUUAAAAAAAUUCGAAAACCGAUUACAUGAUAAAAACUCACCGACACCGAACCUUAUUAAUUUAAAAUAGUUUUCAACUAAGAUUUGAAAUUACAUUCACAAACACACCCAACUAAAAAAGAAAAAUUCUAAUAAUAAAACAUUUCAGUCAUCAAAAACCCAUUUAUAAUUUAUUUCAACACGCGGUAUAUGGGUUAACAAGUCCCAAUAUUGUCCUCCAUCCUUUCUGCACUUCUCUUCUAUCAACGGACAUCCCUCGAUGUAUAAACACAAAAGUGAGGAAGGCAGGCCCUUCUCCGGAAAGUAUUUGAGCUUGGGACAAUCCCAGAGAUGCAAUUGAGUGAGGUUUUGAAGAUCAACAAUUGAAGAAGAUAGGCGUUCCAGAUUUGGAAAUCUGAAAAUCCACAGAGAUGUUAGAGAGGCAGGAAGAGGAAGCGCGGUCCCCAAUCUUAUGUCCUCCGGUGGGAACGACACCGUGUCCUCAUCACAUCCUUCGAUUCUAAGUUCUCGCAGAGAGGAGAAUCUGUGAAAUCCUCUGCUCCGCUCAAUCAUUGACUUCCAAAUUUUCGUAUUACCAUCAAUCUCCAGUGAAUGAAGGUUGGUGGGAAGGCCAUCUUCUUCAAGGCUUGGAAGCUCACCUCCUGUUCCUAUUCUUAAUUCUUGAAGAGAGCUCAGAUUGUGCAAUCCCUUGGGUAAGGCCUCUAGUCUCUCACAAUCAGAUGUCUCCAGCGUCCUGAGUUUCGCACAAGGCAAUCCCCCUUCGGGAAAGGACACCAGAUUUCCACAAUUCCAUAUCUUAAUCUCUUGAAGCUGGCGGAGAUUAUGUAAACCACUCGGUAAAAUUUUCAGAUUUUCACAAUUAGAAAUGUCGAUUGUUUCAAGAGAUGUGUUGUUGUCCAACCUUUCUGCUAUUGACUCCAGCUUUGAACAACUCCGAACAUUAAGGCUCUUAAGAGACGGAGGUAGAUUGCCAACUUCAAGGGACUCAAGCGUGGCAGGUAACUCGUUUUUUGAAAAUAUACAUGUCAGUGAUGGACAAACUGCAAUUAAUAAGUGCUCAAGAAGAGAUGAGGUGUACCUUCUGCUGCUGCUGCUGCUGUGGAUGCCCUCUUCCACUGUCAAAGUCCUUAUGUUACUGCACCACUGGAUGUCCAACCUCUUAAGGCUUGAUGGUAGCUGGACUCCAGCAAUAUAUGUCAACGAACGGCAAUCCUCAAUAUACAAGAUCUCGAGAGACGAAUUGGUGUCGCACAUCCAUGCCUCCGGUAACGAUUUCAGUGCGUCACAUUCCCUAAUCUCAAUUUGCUUCAACUUGGAAGGCAGAGCAACCUCAGGAAAGGAAACAAGGGAACUGCACUUGUAGAUUUCUAUCUCUCUCAAGGAACUGAGGCUGAGAGAUGAUUGUGGCAGCUUCACAAGGCCUUCGCAAUAUCUCAAUCUUAGAUAUUCGAGUCUGCAUGACAACUGGCAGAGCUGCUGUUGUUGGUCUUUCUCUUCCUCCGCCACCAAGGAUUGAAGUUUGGGACACCGUCUAAUCGUCAAUCUUUUGAGAGAGCAAAUGUCUUGUAGUAAUCCGUCAUGACUCUUCCAUAUAUAUGUUUGCUCUUUUGUCGACAAAAUUAAUUCUUCCAAUUUCGAUAGUUGUGGCUUCAAGGGCCCCGCAAGAAACACUUGAUUUGAUGUAUCUCUACAAACCACUGAAUUCUGUGAUCCGAGAUGACCAGUUGCACUUUCCCACACAACCUUUUUGCAUCCACCAAUCUGUAAUUUGCAAAGAGCUGGAAGACUCGAAACUGAAACUACCAAUUCUUCACAUCCUUCAAUAACAAGCAUCUCCAAUGCAGGAAGGUGCUCUGGAAAUGUUCCUUUCAGUUUAGAACAUCUUAAAAUGUGAAGCUCUCUCAAUUUAGGAAACCGUUCAACUCCCUGACUGGAUCCAUGAGGAAUCCAGUCUUCCCAUUCUCGCAUGUUUUCAAAACGAAGAGUCUCCAAACAUGGAGGAUCAUUCCCACAGAACUCUGAACCCAACCUUUUUACUCUGCUCAUUCCACGCACUGUAAGAUGCUUUAGAGAGGGCAGUUGCCCGACAGACGGCAGGGCAGUACACAUGCCGCAAUCUUCAAAUUCAAGUGUUACUAAAUUUGAGAACAAGGAAUCUCCUAACCAUGUUGGAAAUUUCAUACCUCCAUAGCCUUUGAUACAAAAUUGCUCCAGAUUUGUAUGAGGUUUUAGCAUGUCAAGCACGCCCAUUUCAGUUUCUGCCUCCCUUGAAGAAGAACCAUCGGUACUGCAAGUCCAUUUAAGCGAUAAUUCUUUCAGAUUCUUCUUUCCAUCCAUUUGAGCCUCCAUGGCAUCACCAACGCAUUUUACAUUCUCCAAUUUUGAAAUGCUAAGUGUCCCAUGAAGGUGCGUCAACAACUUUAGCUCUCGUAAACCGGAACCACUGCCUUUUCCCACAACAAAAUUACACAACGUCUGAAGACUAGUCAACCUACCAAUUCCUACUGGCAUUUCCUCCAACGACUUCGUAUUUGAAUUCUUAAGAUGAUGCAAUUUGAUGAGGUUCCCCAUGUCUGCACACAACUUCUUCAGCCGAUCACAAUCUUCCAACAAAAGACUAUGCAAAUUGUAAAGCUUGUUGACUGAUUCAGGCAGAGUUCUAAUCUCAGUUCUAGACAGGUUAAGGUACCUUAAAUACCUCAAAUCACCAAUUGAAUCUGGCAGCUCAGGGAUGCGGUAUCCACGCAAAGAGAAGACCCUCAAGCGUUGAAGUUUGAGCAACUUAGGAAGAAUGCUAGGAGCCAAGUAGCCAGGCCAUCUAUUUGUCAACAUUACUGGUAAAAAAGUUCUCAAAUGUUGGAUAUCAUACAAGUCCCCAAACCUUUGAACGCCAUCAUAAUCUCCACAAAUGUAUGAUAGAUGACGAAGAUUUCUGGAAAAACAUUGUUGCUUGUUAACCUCCGAGGUAUACUCCAGUGUGAAGUAUGUCUCCCCUGCAGCCCAACGGGCAAGGUCGUUGAUAAGAUCGUGCAUAACAAAUAGUGAUGCAUCGGUGGCCGAUUGCUGGAAAAAAGAUCUUGAACAUAGCUCCUUAAAGAAAUCACGACCUAAAUCUUCACUAGGAUUCUCAUCUUCUUUGUGAUCCAAAAAACCGGAGGCACACCAUAAUAAAAUUAUCUCCUCCUCUUCAAAUUCAUAAUCCUUUGGUAACAAUGAGCAGUAUGCAAAGCAUUGUUUCAAAGUUGGAGGAAGAUAAUAAUAGCUCACUGCAAGGGCUGGUAUAAUGCGACACCUCUGUUCUGGUAAUUCCCAUAUCUUGCUACCGAGCACACCUUCCCAUACCCGUCUGUCAUGUCUUCCACGUAAUAGUCCUCCAAGUGUUUGUGCAGCUAAGGGCAAGCCAUCGCAUUUGGUCACUAUCUUCUUGCCAAUUUCCUCCAAUAACUCAUGCGGCCCCAGAGAAUGUUGAGCGAAUAUAGCUAGACAGUCAUUAUCUGACAAUUUUUUUAAUGGAUGAGGUGGAAGAGUCCCCAUGAUUGUUGCAACAUCCUGAUUGUGAGUAGUAACAAUAAUCUUACUUCCCUGUGCACCAGCUUCAAAUGGAAGGCUGAGCUGAAUCCAAUCAUCGUAACUAUCAUUCCAUACGUCGUCUAAAACAAGCAAAAAUUUCUUUCGAGACAACUGCUUCUUUAGCUCCUCUUGAAGAAAAUUUAAAUCAUUAUUAUCAACAGUCUGCUUAGUAAUGGAGCUUAGAAUUGUUCUUGUUAGCCUGAUAAGAUCAAAAUCAUCAGAGACACAAGUCCAUGCCUUGAGAUCAAAAUGAUCCUCCACUUGCUUGUAGACAAGCUGAGCAAGAGUGGUUUUACCCAGCCCGCCCAUACCUAUAAUGGGAAUAACUGCGAAUCCACCAUCCUUUCUUGAAUCAUCCUUCAACAACAAUUCAACAAUUUCCUUCUUUUCUGUUUCCCUGCCAUAUACUUUGGCUUCCUCCACCAAAGAGGUUGUCUCUUGCCUUUGCCUGGCUUUUUUGGACCCCCCAGCUAAACUUUUUAUCAAAUUCAGCGAGCGUAUUCCUUCUUCAAUAUCUUGAAAUCUGUCGUUGAUCUUUUUGAUUUUGGACAUCAAGGCGAAAUCGAACUGAAUCGAUUGUAGAGUAAAAGUGGUACAGCAAGUAGGAAUGAGCUUCCGAAACUUACUCUUCGUGCUUGUACGACUGCUGCUGGGUUGAUCAUGAGCAGCAGCUGGUUCUCCAUUUCCAAGCAGCAACUUCCUCCGGAAAGCCUCAGUUUGGAACUCAUCCAACAAGUCUUCAACGUCAUAAGCCAAGUUCUGAAGCUCGCCAAGCCACAACUUCACAUAAUCAUCAGUCGUCUUCUUCUCCUCAGCAUCAUCAAGCACCGCCUUGAUCGUCACCAACUUAUUCUUCCACUUCACUAGAUCGUCUUUGAUUCGACCUUGGCGUGCAAAACGCAGAAUCCCCUUUGAAGCUAACUUAUUGACCAGCAACUCAACGGACGCCGUCAGGAUUGCCUCUCCGAUGAUUGACAUUUUUUCUUUUUUCUUUUUUUUUGGGUUUUUUUGGACAAAGAAAAAAACUAAAUUAUGAGUUUGUGGAAAGCAAAAUGAGAAAAGUGAAUAAGCGGAAUGUGUUUGUGAUUGUGUCUAGCAAGCCUAGAAAUCAAGAAAAAUCCACCGUAAAAGUGAAAAGUAAAACGGAGCCCACCACAAAUAUAAAAUCAGAGGAGCACAGAAUAAAAAAAAAAACAAAAGAAAAGAAAAAGCCAAGCCAAGAAUCAUAUGCCAUUGCUUUACAUAUUAAAUUAAAACAAAAGCCAUGCCAGGAAUCCUGCCUUUGCUUGAUAUUUGACAAGAUUAAUUGGACAUUACACAUUAUUUCACAGAGAAUAAAACUUGUAAAGAACCAAACCCAUCAAACCCUUUCUUUAUCUUAAAUGUCAGAAAUAUAUAAUUAGCUUGGAAUAAAGCUAUACUCUUCUCCUUUUUCCAUUUCUACAGGUUCAUAUAGGCAUAUCAUAUGGAUUUUGUUUUAUGCUAGGUAAUUAUUAAUUUAUAUAAUAAUAUAUUUCCCUCAAAAUAUACUAUUUGAAUUUGAAAUAAUUUUUUAAAAUAAUUUAAUAUCACAAUAAUAGUCAUGAUUCAAUUCGGUUCAGUUUAAUUUUUUUAGAGAAAAAAUUUGAGAAAAUAGACAAAUAAUGAAGACGCAAUUGAAGCACAGCCAAUAAACAGGGUAAAGUGAAUUGCGUCCUGUCCUUGAGCACUCAAUUCUCUUCAAUCUCAAAUUUAUACGUACAUUUUUGUAAAUUCAUGUCAUAUACUAGAGUCUUUUGGGUUCUGUUACAUCAAUUGUUUCGUGUCUAUCUUGUUUUAUUAAUUUAUGGAGCAAGAUUGCUAGUAGCGAUAAACCUGGAAUAAAACGAUUUAUUUAUUUUAUAUAUAUAUUGCGUUGUUAUCAGCAAAAAAUAUGAUGGGUUUCGUUUGUAACAACUAGCUAAUUGCUUAAUACAUUUUUGUACUUCUCGUCAUGAAGUCACGAGGAACUUGUAAAUAAGAUCAUAGACGUGGUACGAUGUGACGUGAUAAAUUUAAAUCAAAUCUAAACUAAGAUGGUUCAUAUAUAGGUACAUACUGAAUAAAGAUAUUUAAAGCAUUCAAUUUUAUGACAUACCUAAUAGUCAUUGGCUUAUUGUUAUUAAAGGAAGUGAAUAGAAAUAGAUGUAGAAAGUGAAAAAGAUGAACUAGCGCACAUGAUGAUUUCUCAGAUAAAAAGUUAAAUUUAUAUUCUUUUUUUUAAUAAGUGUGAGAUGAUUUACACCCUAAAAUUUAUUUUGAACACUCAUAUUUUUAUUACAAAAAACCCCAUAGUUCAAUUUACUGGUAUGGACAAUUCAAUAAAAAUACAUAGAACAAUAAUACUUUUGACACCCAUCUGGCUAUAUUUAACAAGUUUGCACGCACAGACUCUAUGAUUCUAAUUUCUUUGACUUGGUUUUAGUUUUUGUUGAAUAUAUAUCUACCUAUAUAAAGUGUUAGUGAUUUUUCACUUCUCUACCAAGGAGAUUCUACACGAAUAAACAACCGCAGAAAAAAAAAUAUAAAAAACCUGAUACAGGUGAAGAAGAUAUUCAUCAUAACAGUUUUUUAAAGUUGAUGAGUCCAAAUAUCCAAUAACUGAUAAAUUGUGUUAAGAAAUAAAAAAUAUUAAUAGUGAUGACACAAAGGAAGUCCCGUGUUUUGAGUUUGACUAAAAUAAUCUGAAUAAUUUAAAAUAAUCGAUCAGGCCAAAUUGCUGAAGAGAUGAACGGCCUCUGUUUUUUACCAUAAUACUAGGAAUUGACUUCAAUUGGGAAGUCAGGCCAAUCGAAGGAGCUCCCCUGUUUCUGACUGAAACAUAAUCCUAACAAUUUACAAUUAAAUAAAUCAUUCAAAAUUUCUCCUUUAAUCGAACCCCCACUUCUAUGACUUAAUAAAAUAUUACAAAAGUUCUUAAUACAGUGAAAUUAACGUUCAGCUCAUGAAGUCGCCAUUAUAUAUAUUGAAAAAGAGAUUAGUACAAGACAUUGAAAAUUAAUUGACAUUGAAUCACGUUGGAUCCUUAGUUGUUAAUUAUGAUCUUGGUCUUUUAAUUAUCAUCUAGCCAACGCAGGUCCACUAGUUUCAUUUGUGUCAAUCACUGAAAAGUAGAGCUUUAUUGAACACCGCAUAUUACAGAAACUCACUCGAUUUUCAUUGCCAUACAUGUAGCUCAAAAGUACAUAUUAUAUCAGUGAACAUGGAACAUUCAGCUAACCUAUAACAAAUAUAAUAAAAUCUCAAUAAAUUAAUAGUUCUGGGACCAAUGAAAAAUUAGUUAAAAUUUCAUGAAUAUCAAUUAGUCGAUAAGUUAAUAAAUUAUUAAUUUAUGAAAAUAUUCAUUAUUUUGGAAAAAAAUGAUUACGUUUAUAGUAUUGAUUUACGUUGAGUUAGAAUCUAUUAUUUUUUAUUUGAAUAUUAAUUUUCUUUUAAGAAGAUUUUUUAAUAGUUAACUACUUUAUAAUAAGACUAUUGUAUGAUUUUUAUUUUUCCAUGUUAGAGAUGAUAGUUCUGCUAUGCAAGCUGUUUCGAUCAAAGGAUUAGAUGAUAUUGACAUUGAAUAAUUUUUUGUUGCAAAAUGACAACACCAAUUAGAAUUUCUUUUCGCAUUACAAAAGAAAAAAAUGAGAUCCAAUUCUAAAUUAAUUUAAAAAGAAAUAAACGAUGCUGAGAAUAAAUUUUACACAAGCCAUAUAGACAUAUCAUAUGGAUUUUGUUUUAUAUUAGGUAAUUAUUAAUCUAUGUAGUAAUAUAUUUCCUUCAAAAUGUACUAUUUGAUUUUGAAAUUAUUUUUGAAAAAUUUAAUAUCAUAAUAAUAGUCAUGAUUCCAUCGGUUUGAGGUUUUUUUUUUUUUUUUGGUUUAAGAAAAAAGAUGGGACAAUAGUCAAAUGAUGAAAACACAAGCUAAGCAGAGCCAAUAAACAGGGGAAAGUGAAUUACUGUCCUUGAACACGUUCUCUAAUAAUCUCAAUAUUCUACGUACAUUUUUGUAAAUUCAUGUCGCAUACAAAAGCCUUAUGGGUUUUGUUGCAUCAAUUCUUUGGGGAUUUAUCUUGUUUUAUUAUUUUGCGACGCAAGAGUCCUCGAAGCAAUACAUUUGGAAUAAAACGAUUCAAUUUAUUUUUCGUUGUUAUUAACAAAAACUAUAUAUUAUUAAUUAAUCAACUCAUCGAGAUAUUGGUUUCAUUUGUAACAAGUAGCUAAUUGCUCAGUACAUUGUUGUACUUACUCAUUAUCAUAUCAAGACGAACUUGUAAAUAAGAACAUAGACGUGGUACACUGUGAUGUGAUAUAUUUAAUUCAAAUCUAAAUUAAGAGAUGAUUCAUAUAUAUAGGUACAUACUGAAAAAAGAUAUUCAAACAUAAACACUCCAUUUUAUGAUAUACCUAACAAUAAUCGGUUUAUUGUCCAUAGGAAAUGGAGUGAAUAGAAACAGAUGUAGAAAGUCAAAAAGAUGAACGAGCGCACAUGACGAUUUAUAAAAUAAUAAAUUAAAUUUAUAUCGUUUUUAAUAAGUGUGAGAUUAUUUACAUUUUCAAAUUUAUUUUGAAUGCUCUUAUUUUUUACUACAAAACCUCAUAAUUCAAUUUACUAUUAAGAGCAAUUCAAUAUAAAUAAAUAGAACAAUAAUACCUUUGACACCCACCUAGAGCGCACACACCCAUGUAAAAUUAUUAAACCUUAAACCGAAGAACAUUCUUCCUCAACAUUAAAACUCGUGCAUUAUUUAAAACCAUAUUUAACAAAUUUUCACAAAGAGACGCCAUGAUUCUAAUUUCUUUGACUUACAUUUCAAUUUUUGUGGAAUAUAUAUCUAUUCCAUAUUAAGAGAUUCUGAAUCUUUCACUCGGCUGUCAAGGAGAUUGUACUGAAUAAACAACAGCAGAAAAACAAAUAAAAAACUUGAUACACGUGUAGAAUAUACUCAUUAAAUUUUAAUUUUCGGCACAAUUAUGAGCUGCAUAUUUAUACACACACACAAAUAACUGUUCUGCAAAUAUGUACAAAUCAAUUUCAGCCAUCCAACUUUUUUUCGAAUUUUAAUGAAUAUAAAUUUUAUAAGUUGGGCAACUAUGAAACAUAAAAUUAGCAAAAUGAUAUUAUUAACAAAUAAGGAGAGCAAAAGGUAAUUAUAUCUUGGUGUGCUAAAUAUUUUUAUGGGUGUAGUGAAAAAACUAAAGAUAAUGGAAGAAAUGUUAUUGAGGAGUAAGUGAAAAGUGAUUUCCUAAAAUCUAUUAACUAAUGCGCAAAAUAGAAGGGCAUUUUGAGAAAAUUUUAGAUUAAAAAUAGUCCCAUCCUUUUAAUAAUAUUCUUCAAUCAAUCUGUUUAUUUCAAAAUAAAAAUCCAUCUCAUUUUUACUUUCUAAUUAGUCAUAUUAAUGUGUUAAUAAUUACGAAGAACCAGUAUUAUUUGUAUGAUGUAGGAAGCCCUUUCGACACAAUAACCCAAAUUUCUAAGAGUAGCGGCUGGACUUGAUUGGGAACAACUUCGAUUCAGUUUAAAAGGUUAAUCUCAAAAUUUCGUGAUAUUGUGCCUAAAGAGCUUCCUGCAUCAGUAUAACAGUUUCUAAAUUAAUAUAAUUGUGUGUUCAUUUUUUAUGAUUUUCCUUUAAUUUUUUUUUUAGAAACUGUUGUUCUUCAAUAAUUAUUCUAACAAUGUUGCUUUAAAGUGAUGUUGAUACGGGAGUCGAUGAGUCUUUAUCUGAAACAAAAAUUUACAAAAAAAAAUAUUAAAUUAAAAAAAAAGUACAUCAAAUAUUGGGCUCCCCCAAGUUUUACAUUUGUCUUCCACAAUGAGACAAGCCCUUUUUUCAAGUGAAGACUUUUGAUGUACAAUUUGUAAAGGAAAUUUGCCCCAUAUAAUUUUCCUUUCUACAACUUGCAAGCUUAUGUAAAUCAUAUCAACUUAAAAGAUUCCAAGAUUUGGUAUUUUGGUGAUUUGAGUAUCCAAUGGUGAUGACACAUACGCAUGGAAGUCCCCUGAUUUGAGUUUGACUAAAAUAAUCUGAAUAAUUUAAAACAACACAUCAGGCCAAAGUCCUUAAGAGAUGAACUGGAUUUCAGUGCAUCACAUUCCGAAAUUGAUACUAACCUUAACUGGGAAGGCAGAACAGCCUCUCUUUCCUACUGUUGCACAAAAUGGCAAGUCAAGCCAAUUCAAGGAACUUCCCUGUUUUUUACUGAAAAAUACAUAAUCUGAACAAUUUAUAAUCAAAUAAAUCAUUCAAAAUAUCCUUUAAUCGAACCCCCGUUUCCAUGGUUUAAUAAAAUAUCACAAAGGUGCCUAAUACAGUGGAAUUAACACUCAGCUCAUGGGAUUGCCAUUAUAUAUAUUGAAACAGAAAUUAAUACAAGAAACUGAAAAUUAGUUGACACUGGAUCACGUUGGAUCGUUAGUUGUUAAUUAUGAUGGAAAUAUAAUCUUGGUCUCUUACUUAUCAUCUAGCUAAUGCAUGUGCACUAGUUUUAAUUGUGUCUAUCACUGUAAAUAGUAGAGUUGCUUGAUUGAAUAGUAUCAUAUUACAUCACAGAAACUCGCUCAAUUUUCAUUGCCAUAUGUAUCUCAAAAGUGCAUGAACAUUGAACAUUCAGCUAACUUAUACCCAACAACAUCCAUCAGUCAGAGUGAAACCCCAAUUGAUUUCAUAAAUACAAAAUAAAUAACUCGCAAAGGCAAUCUUUGACAAUCACAAAAGCAACAACAAUUCACUCCAACAAACAACAUAACAAUUAUAUGGUCUAAAUUGCAGGUCUUUUUAUGAUUUUAAUUGAAAGAGAAAGCACGAGGGACAUAUUAUAUAUAAUUGAAUGUUAUGAUUGAUAAUUGGGCAAAAUAAUACUAAUCUAGCUAACUAGUCCAAUCAUCAUAAUAAUCUGAUUUUCAUUAUUUAAUUAUGUUCAAUCAUGUUAUUUUAAUAAAGAACACUGAACGCUUGAGUAUUUAUAUGUUCAACAACUUCGGCUAAAUUUGAAAAAAAAAAAGUAUUAAUUAUGAAUAGUAAUAAAUUACCCUACAAGCCACAUAUUGCGUACAUAUGCAGUUGCAACAAAUAUAUGUGUAAUAAAAAGAUCAUAUGUGCUUAGAAAAUGAAGCAUCAUUGAAUAAAUGGAAAAAAAAGAAAGAAAAUUAAAAUCAGCGUCCAGCGGAAAGAAUCCAUCUUUACGUGUUGCCUCCAAUUUGGUACAUCUAUCUGACUUUAAAAAAAUUGCAGUAGAAAUUAGAGCUCAUUUUUUUAGAUAUGGCUCAUAUACAAUACAAGUGUCAAGAUGUAAUUAGAGUUUACAUAUAUACACGUGUCUAAUUCUAAUUGACAGACAAACUAAUCAUAAAUACUCAGGUGUUUCUAAAUGAUUGAAUAAUGAUAUUGUAGUGACUUGAUUGCUUUGUUCUCUGAUUAGAAAUAAAUCACUGUCCAAGAACCUUUGUCAAGAUCUGUUCAAGUUGCAAUUAAACCAACACCAAUCUGAGGCUUCAAUGCUGAUUCACACCAUAGCUCUAGGUUAAUGGAGGUUGAAAACAGAAGAUUAAAUUGAACUAGAAGCAGCACACACUCACACAAAGAACAGGAUUUAACGUGGUUCGAUUAUGCAUAAAUGCACAAUCUACAUCCUUGGGAGAAGCCACAGAGCUAAUACAGAGGAGAUUACAAGGAACAAGAAGACUCUUUCUCUCUUUCUAAGAUCUCUCUGGAAAGCUCUCAAAAUCCUAUGCAAUGUUUUUCAACAACCAGCCUCUUUACACCCCUGAUAUUGAAACCCAGAUUGCAUAGCUUUUGGACGCGUGUAUAACGGCUUCAUAACGAAUUUGAUUCCCUUCUCACAUGCGGUCUCACGUGCUUCACUUAAACUUGCUCAAAACGACUGAAAGUAGCGUCGUUUUUCCUUAAGAUUAGUGAAGAAGAUAGCAUGUGUGUUGCACGUGAGUCGUAAGUGGAUUCGCUUACUCAAAACACAGCCGCUUUAGGGCUUCGAGUUUUGGAUUCAUGGCACUCUAGUCCAGAGAUAUUAUUGGUAUUUAUAAAUUUCAAAGUGGUGAUAACAGAUUCACAACAUAUUGGAGUUUUGGAUUCAUGGCACUUAUGGUUUCUCAUCAAAUAAUGUUAUAAAAAAAAAUACAUAAGUUAGAAGAUUCACAACAUAUUGGAGUGUAAUUUCCACUUGAGUGACAAUGAAUGAAGUUAUGUUAAUUUAGAUUAAGUACAAGCCUUCCUAAAUAGGAUUAGAAAUACUCUAUUAACAUAUCGAAUACUACCUUAGUAAAAAUUUAGUUGACAAAAAUUAAAAAAAAAAAAGCCUUGAAGGCUUGAAACAAUUAACACCAACUAAAUAAUUGUCUUACAUCACCAAUUUUUUUUUUUUCAUUUUAAUAAGACAUCACCACACUCCUGACUUUAUAAAGUGACUUUAUAAAGUAAAGCAUAAAAUAUAAUAGAGAAGUUUGAGUUUAAAAAAAUAAAGUUGGGAGAAUGACUUGUCACGCUGUCUUUGAUCAUUGAGCACACAAUUAUCUGAGAAAAAAAAACUCUAUUGUAUUUGUGUUUGUUGUAGAUUCAUGUCAUUUACUAGUCCUUUGGGUUUUGUUGUAUCAAUUCUUUGGUAAAUGUUUAUCUCGUUUUCAUUCUUUUAUGAUGUGAGAUUCCUGGUUAUAUUAGGAAUCAGAGUGAAAUCCAAUCUUAAAAUUUGGAGAAAUAAAACGUAAUAUGAUUUUUAAAAUUUAGAGAAAUAAAAUGUAAUAUGAUUUUUUAAUGAAUAAAACGAUUUAAUUUAUUUCUUUUCUACUAGUAAAAAUUAUUAAUUUAUUAACCCAUCAAGCUAUUGGUUUCAUUUGUAAGCUGGUCAGUCAGUUUUUUAUUUUGAGUUGUUAUCUUUCAAAAGAUAUUAGAAAAAUCUUACUUUGAGUGUACUUGAUCACUUCACUAAUUAUAGGGUAUUUACAAGUUAGAAAAAUAAAUUAUUUCUGGCCGAAGACACUAGAAAUUAAAGUUCAUAUGACUUUGUAAUACUGUUUGGUAAGUGAGAAAAUUGCCGAGAAAAUACAGAGCAAAUAGAAUCUUUAAGAAGAUCUAAAUUUCUGUAUUUUAUUGAUCUAAAAAAAUGAUACAAGCUCUUAUAUACAAUUGUAAGAUUCUACACACUCACAAUGAAAUAUCACGCUACUAGUAAUUAACAACCCUUAUAACAAACUCAACUGAUUCAGGCUGACUCCAGAGAAUGUCGAAAAGCGUUUGGCUAAUUUUUGUAUACACACACAUAACACAAAAUUAAAUUAGUUGGCAGCGUUGACAGUGAGUCGUUUUUGGCCAUCCAUAAGUUCACAUGUGCAUGGACAUCUGUUGCCAGCCCUUUCAUUAUUUUAAAUCUCCAUAACAUUAUUAGAGUCCCACAUUUAUCACACAUCAUUAAGUAGAAUGCGCUAAUUAGGAAGAGCUAGUUUCUUUGUUCUGUUUUCUUGCAUAUGUUGCAAUUUUCGAGUAUCACUGAAAAUUUUAGACCGUCAAACCUGCAGGAAAAUUAUAUACAUAUUCUAUCAUUCAACCUCAACAAAUAAAUUCUUUUCACUGGAAUCCAACAAUCGUUAAGUGUUAACCUUGUAGUUCUCAAGAGCAGAAAUUGUUGUAUUAAUUUUUUCAAAGUGUCUCUCUUAAAAGAACACUAAAGAUAGGAGAGUGAAAUUUCAACUGAGAUCUUGCCACAUAAGACGAUCGAUUUAAUCCGACAAAAUGUGCGUUAGGUUAAUAAGAGCCAAUACUGCCCUGAUCCUUUCUGCAUCUUUCUUCUAUCAGCGGACAAUCCUUGAUAUACAGUUGCAAGAGCGAGGUAGGCACGCUCUUGUCCAAAAAGUAUUUUGGCUUCGGACGAAUAUAAAGCCAAAGAUACACCAACGACGUGAGAUUUUGACCAAUUGAAGGCAGGCAUUCCAUGCUUUGGAAAUCAUAAAUCCACAAAAGGGUUCCUAACUCCUGUGGCGAAAUGACACCACGUCAUGAAGUCCUCCGAUUGACAGUCGUUGUAGAGAUGAGAAUCUGUUCAAUCCCCCUUCCCCCCCACCCCAUCGAUGGCUUCCAAAUCUUCAUAUCAUGAAUAUAAAGUGACUGAAGGUUGCUGGGAAACCUACCAUCAUCUGCCUCAACUGGGAAGCAAUACCAUAUAUGCUUGCCAGACCUCCUCUGUUUCAUUCUUGAAGACUGUGCAUGUCCUUGGGUAAGGCCUCUAGCUUAUCACACCACGUUAUCCGGAGCUUAGACAGUUCCGCAGAAGGCAAUCCUCCUUCAGGAAAGGGUCAUUUCAAUAAAAGCACAGUACAAUUGCUUAACUAAUUUUUUGAAAACAGAGAUAUGAGAGAUUGACAAUUUACAAUUGCUUAACUGCUCAAGAAGAGAGCACGCUUGAAUUAUGAAAUACGAAAAAGAGAGCACAAAUGAAAAAUCUUAAGGAAUCAGCAGGAUUCACAUCCGACCAACUCCACGCUGCUAAAGCAAAGGAUUAAUUUUUGAGAAAUUGUAAAGAAAUUAAUACAAGUGAAAUGAGAGCCUGUUCAUUUGAUUAUUGGCCAAGGGUGAUUUCAAUAACGUUUUCAAAGAAGAUAUAGGACAAAGAUCAGAACGAAAAAUAAGUAAUUUCAGUCGUUGAAAAAAAAGAGCAAGCUUCACACAUGCAUGCAUGUGUCGGACCAACAGAACAUGGCUUGUGUCAAGGAUCAAUCAAAGACAUAUAAACUCAGUUUUAUAAAGUAAGCAUCAAAAUGUUUGACAAGUUUUAGAUUUGUAGAAUAUUGGGAAAGCAGACAAAUAAUCAAUGAAGACACUGCAAGUUAAGCAGAUCAAUUAAACAGAGGAAAUAGCUGAUCAAUUCUUUGUGCAAUGGCCACAGCAACUGUGAGGUUAUAAGUUGCUGAUGUGUUGGGCUUCAAUACAAGAUUCGAAGAGUUCUUGGGGCUGUGUGAAGACUGACUUCAGUUGGAGGGGUCUUAUUGUAAAUUUUAUGCUGAUGUGGCAGAGUUCGUUGAGAAUUCGUUAUGCCUUUUCCAGAAAUAUCAGAAUAAAAGGCGCUGGUGAUUAGCCCCUGAUCUGAGAUCAAUAUCUUCUUCAUUUCUUGUUCAUUUUGUUGGAAAUUUGGUUCUCUGUGAUCCUUGUAAUUGCCUCUUCAUAAUCAACCUGUAUCUAGAUUGUUAUGAUCAACAAAAGAGCAGUUGUUUCCUUCAUUGAUUUGUGUACUUGAAACAGUGCUCUGUGUUCUAUUCUUGGAAUUGCUUUCUUGUUUGGUUGAUCUGGUUUGAUUCUUUCAAGUCCGAUUCAUCAAGUUCUUCACGAAUUAACUUGUGUAGCCAUUAAAGUUUCAACAGCAACAGAUUAAAUAUAUCUACAAGACUACAUUAAUCCUAAUGGCAUGGUAGCAUCUCCAUGCAACAUUACAUUAACAUUUCAUCAUCAAUCAAUUUUGAUGAUAUGAUAUUAAAAACAUUGACUUCAUAAUUUAACAUAUAAAGAAAAAGUAAUACUUAUUUGAUGAGUAUGAUAGACAGCAAAUAUGGAUCAUGCAAUAAUGAAACAUGUAUUUAUAGAAAAAUGUUUGGGAGUAAAAUGAUGCUAUAAAGUUUAAUAUUAGUUGCAAGAAAAAAAAAUUGGCAAUUAAGAUUAACAGAUACAUAUGCAAUGCUUCGAGUUUAUUUUAUGACUUCCGUAACGAUUUUGUAACUACAUAUUGAUUAGAAGUUCGAUUAAUUUUGACCAAAAACUCUAGAGCAAGUCGAAAAGAGAUUUGAUUUUUUGUAUACAAAAAAAAUAAUCAAUAAAAGCAAGCUCUGGUGUUGUUAAGCUAAGGAUACAGGGGUUAAAAUUACUCACCACUCAAUGGAAUCCACCAAAGAGAUACAGAGUUUGAUAAUAACUCAAAGUUCAUCCAAUUUCCAAAAUUAAUCUCUGUCCUUUGGUUACAACUACAUAAGCUUAAAUAGCUUUCUUGGAACAAUCCUCCAAGCAUAGAUUUACUACAAAGAAACCCUUCAAAUAACUUGACUUUAAAGACCAACAUUAAAGCUAGACAUUAAUAAAACAUUGGUAUGCUUAAAACACAACAAAAAAAAUUAAAAAAAAAUCCAAGUCCCGAAAUAUUCUUCUUGACUCAAAACUGAACAGUCUGCACUUAACUGAUCAUAACUUACUGUAGAAAACUCCAAAUUUAGAUUAGUAAAAUUCAUUGGAAAACUAACAGAAAUAUCUUUCCAAUGAUGUAUGGCUCGAAAAUUAAUUCGAUCUCAUGCAGUACAGUUGAAUUCCCAAAGAUGCCCCUUCUGCACAGAAAUUCUGCUCACUUGAUUAAUGUAAGAACUUGAGCUGCACUUGGUAUAACUUGAUUACCAAAUAUUUCAAACGCCCGUGUUAUUUUCACUGGUGGCCGUAGGUCUCAUGACAGACUGAACCACGUUGUCUCUGUUUUCCCUGUGAUUUUGUCUCUGAUUCUUCUUGUUCUUUCUUCUUGAUUCUAUUUCUUGGAAGUUUAAGUCUGGUUUGUUGAAUAUUGAGUUGAUUCAGAUUCGGUUCGGUGCUUGUGCAUCUUGUGUUAGUCUCAUUCAAGAUCUUGGGCAGAGUCUUUGGUUUGACAAGUUAAUUAGAUCGUCCAAAGCUCUACGUUUUUUUUUUUUUUUUAAACAAAAAAGAAGCACAGUCUGCUAUUAAUACUGUAGCAUGUUAGCUACUAUAAAAGCUCGUGUCUAAUUACCAAAUAAAUUCCACUUUAACAAAGAAUAGAAGCUAAUUUUAUUUUUUCUUUUUGUUAUUGAAGUUACCUCGCAAACUUCUCGGAAGCUUAUUACAAAAUUUCCUUUUACUCUAGGAUCUCUUGAAUGGUCCUGCAAUUUGUAUUCUUUUAUGUGGGAUUGGUUUUUUCUUUAAACAAAAUUUCAAGGAUAAGAAACCUUUCCCAUUGAAUACCAACUUUGAAUUUUAUUAUCAUUUGAACUUAGAAAACUGCAGAAACAAAGCGCGUUCAUAGCACCAGCUAAGCUAGCUGUGUCUUGGUACCAUGCUGGUUCUAUUUUUACUUUAUUAAAUAUAUACAAAAUUAAAUCUCCUGAGCCUCUAGCUUCACUAGUUUCCAACUUGAAAUUAAAACGCGGAAUUAAUGGCAUUGGAGUUCGUUAUUUAAUUUUGCUUUGGUUCAUGGGGAAUCAGAUGGCCAUCCAAUUUUUUGUCUAUUUUAAGUACUAUUGGCCACUAAGUAGCUUGCUUAUAUAUGUGUAUUGGGAUGUCAUAGGCCUUAAAGCUGAAAAUCAAUCCCCAAUCUAAAGUGAAAAACAGUAGCUAGAACAUAAUCUAUGUUUUGAUGUCUUAGUUUAUAAGCUCAAACAAUUAGUAGUAUAUAGAAAAUGCCCGAUAGAACCCAAAACUUGUAGUGAUUUUUAGUUUCGAAAUUCAUUUCAGAAAAUCUGUUCCGUUCAACACAUUCAACUAAACUCUAGCCAUGUACUUGUAUGUAUACAGGUAGAGCACUAGGGCAACAAAGGAGUCCAUCCUUAAGGCCUUGUCUAAGACUGGUUGUCUUUUUCAUGAGCUUCUGGCUUUCCAGCUUGCUGAGCGACGUACACAUAAAGAGGUUAUCCUUUUCUUUUUUUCUUUGUUUUUAUAUGACAGAAUCCAUUUUUGAAUAUAUAUAUAUAUAUAUGUUUAGGUACACAAACACACACAUGAAUAUGCAUGUUUUUAUGAGUUCAUUUAAGUAUAUCCAAUGUUGAAUAACUCUUCCAUUUGAACUUGACAGUAAUCAGGUAGUUGAUAUUUAUGUUACAAAAAUUGGAAGUGUUAGAUAUGAGACUCAAAUCUGAACUUGAGAACACAUACGACAAGUCACGUGGAUCUUUGUAUUAAAUGUGACAUGUCAUGCGUAGGAGUUCACGGAGCUGUAUGACAUUCUUGCUCUGUCGGGAAAACGAGUAAGUAACACACGUGACGUAACACGUGCAUAACUUACUCAAAACGACAGGAGUUUGUGCCGCUUUGUGCUCAAGAGCUUGUGAAGGUGUAACACGUGGCUACCAGAGGUUCAAAAGGCCGUUAAAGGUUGUUAUGACGCGGGCAAAAACUGGGGUUCUUCACAAGCAGCCCAGGUGGCGUUAACAGCUGACUGGUGAAGGGUCUUUCUAGAUCCUUUUCUUACUAUAUAUAUGCCUUUAUGGUGAGAUCUCGCGUAGAGUGAUUCUGUAACACCUUCUUAAGAACUUUGUAUCUUUAAUAAGCUCAGAUAGUGGAAUUCUUCUUCUCCUUCACAGUAGAUGUAGGCUCACUCUAUGGCCGAACCACUAUAAAUCAUUUAGUGGAACUCUCCUUCUCCUUCACAGUGGAUGUAGGCUGACUCUGUGGCCGAACCACUAUAAAUCAUUGGUGUCAAGUGUGUGUGUAUUUUUGUCUCGGUUCUCUUUGAGUUUCUUGCUUUGGUUACAACUGAUUCAUCAGCCAUUAAAGCUAAGUAUAUUCUGAAAUCUUGAGUUCAUAAAGGUCGUUCUUGGGGGGUCUAAAUUGGUGCUUAAUCCGGUUUAGUUUCAACAAGAAGCAACAAAAGCAAUUCAGAAUCAUGCAAGGACUUGGAUUUUUUUGUUAAUUCACUGGGCAUAUGUUUAUCCAACCUCUGAUUUUUCUUAAUAUGUCUCAGUAGUUCAUUUCACGCCACUUUUAGCCGCUCCAUUGGCAUUUUCUGCCAUUUGCUUUUGUUCAUUGGAGCAAGUUAGCUUAUUAAAUUGCUUUUCGAUAAAUGUUCUUCAGAGGGAAUGUGAAAAGGCCAAAUGAACCGAGAUGAUCGGGUUUUCUAGAUCAGCCAUCUCUGUCCUCAACGGUGCUGAACCGUCAAUUACUGAGACACCAAACUCUGACCUGAUUCAUAUGGGAUGUAGACCAAAGCUUCUUGCCAUACCAUCUCUGGUCAAAGCUGCUAUCUUUGAAAGUUUUGCAGGACAAAACAUGUCGGAGUCAGAAAUUGACGUCACCCCUAGCAUAAAACGGUGUAUCAAGAGCAAUUUUGGUUUCCCAGUCGAUACAGAUACAGAAUUCAUAUAAGCAGGUUGCUCUCAAUCUCUGUUUAAUAAGCUUCCUCUGCUGUAUCCUAGAACGUUAUGCUUCCCAGCUGGCUAGAAUGGGAACUAUGUUUCUGCUGCAAAAUUUUUGAAAGCGAGCAUUGUGAAUAUCCCGACUGUGUAUGAAGUGGGCCUUAAGAAGACAGAGAGGACACUUGUGACAAUACUCGAGACUGUAAAGAAGCCGUGGGUAUACAUUUCUGGUCCAACAGUCAAUCCAACUGGCUUGCUUUAUAGCAACAAAGAGAUAGAGAAUAUAUUAACUGUUUGUGUAAAAUAUGGGCCAAGAGUUGUGAUUGAUGCUUCAUUCUCGGGAUUGCAAUUCAAAUACGAGGGUUGGGGUGGCUGCAAUCUGGAAGGCUGUUUAUCGAAGCUGUAUCGUCUCUCUCUGUGUCUCUGCUGGAGGGCUGUCUCCGAAGAUGCUUACUGGAGCCCUCACAUUUGGAUUUCCGGUUCCAAACCAACGUCAUUUAGUUGAUGCAUUUAGUAGCUUUCCGGGAUUAAGAAUAUAUUUUAUGCUAUGAAGAAUACAUUUUUGAUAAAUUAACCUCAAUUCUGAAUUUUAAUUUAGAGAAUGUCGAGAAGAGAUUUGAUUUUUCAUAUAGAAAAAAAUUAGACAUGAAAUAAGUCAAAAUCAAUUACAAGAACAACAAUAAGAAUGUAUUUUUUAAAAGCCACAAAUACAUAAAAUAUAAAUUUAGUUUAAGAUUAGGUAAUUAUUAAUUUGCAUAGUAAGAGGUUCUCGUUGGAGAAAUCCAUUAACCUUCGGCUAAUUUGAUGCAAGGUAUAAUUUUGCAAUGCCCAAUAAUAUAUAGCUGUAUGGUAUUUCUGUAUUAUAUAUACUCCUAAUGAAAAUGAAGCAAAUACGUAAUACUACUACUAUGACAUAACUUUCAUGAUUGCCAACUGCCAAAACCAGCCACCUCUCAUACGUGCCUUAUUGAGCAUGGAAACACCUUAUAUUAUAAUUUCCGUUCACCCAUAGAAGAAUUUCAGGGCCAUUAAUUCAACAAUUACCAAACCAAUAUCCCAAUGAUAGUUGGAUUACUAAUCUUAGCAUUAAAAGAUCUACAAUUUUUAUUUGGCCAAAAUAAAGGUUUUCUUACUGCCUUCUUGAUCUUUUCCUGCCUGGUGAUUCCUGAAUGUUCCUCCCAUUCUCAUAUGCUGAGUCGCUUGCUGAGAUGAUAAAUACUCGAGGGUCCUUCCAUAAGACAAUUCAGCAGACACCUGAUUCAUUCUAUCAAACAUCAGCAUCACUAAUAACUAAAUGGUGUAAGAUAGUCUGGUUUGAAAAUUCUAUAUAAAUCAAAUUUUUAUUUUUCAUCAUUAUGGUUAAUGGCUUAGCAAAUGCAGGAGUACGGAUCAGACAAAAUGAAGCACUUUCUCUCGUAUUAAGCUUUAUUAGUCGUUGAAGCUAACAAAUUUUAAAACAAGUCAAAACAGUUCCAACUCAGAAUCAGUAGGCCGUAAUUGGGUUGUUAUAAAUAUUUCAAAGUUUCAGUUUAAUUUAAUUGUGUAUGCACAAACUAACUUUAUCACUUCUUUCAUAUUAAUAUUCAUAAAUUUCAACCUUAUUUUAUGUUGAUGCACAAAAUGUUUUUUUGUUAUAUAUAUAUUCAAAUAGUCAAAUUUCUUCUUCUUUACUCCAGGAUCCAGCUCUGUACCCCACUUUUUUGUCGUCAUUCUACCCCGCUGUUAGAUUUUAAUUCCGUUGAUCUAAUGGUUGGGAUUUGUAAGUGAAUAACGAAGUGCUGUUUGGCUACCGUCUGAUAGCAAAUCUGAAGCAAAUGUAAUCACCACCAUGCCGGUAUAUUCAUUCAAAUAUUAAACGUACAGAGAAGAAAGCAAAUUGUGGCAGGAUAGCGAAAAUUGCAAACGGUCAUUCCCAACACGAACACCUGUGGCUGUUUUCCUUUAAUUUUCUUCUUUGAAUUUUCCUUUGAUUAAUCAUUAGAAAAACUGCUUUUUUUUUUUCAAAAUCAUGUGUUAUUAACAUUUACAUAGUUAAUUCAUCAAAAUCAAAUGGUUGUUAUCUACGAAAAGACAUUGAAAAUUUCCUUGUCACAAGUCUUUUCGUAUUACAAAAGCAUAUUUAACAAAAUUGCACUCACAGAUUCUAUGAUUCUAAUUUCUUUGACUUGAUUUUAGUUUUUGCUGAACAUAUAUGUAUCCCAUAUAAAGUGUUAGUGAAUUUUUCAUUUCUCUAGCAAGGAGGUUCUGCACGAAUAAACAACAGCAGAAAAUAUAUAUAUAUAAAACGUGAUACGAGUGUUUGUACUUUGCUAAUGGCGUUGCACUCUCCAAACAUGAAGAGUGCAUUAAGGUGCAUUAAGCAUUGGCUGAUUAGAAUCAUUCAUGUUAAGAAAUAAAAAUAUUAAUAGUGAUGACUCAAAGGAAGUCCCGUGUUUUGAGUUUGACUAAAAUAAUCUGAAUAAUUCAAAAUAAUCCAUCAGGCCAAAGGAAGUCUCGUGUUGAACUGCAUUGGGAAGGCAGAGCAGCCUCUGUUUUUUCACUAUAAUACUAAGGAUUGACUUCAAUUGAGAAGUCAGGCCAAUUGAAGAAGCUCCCCUGUUUUUGACUGAAACAUACUCCGAACAAUUUAUCAUUAAAUAAAUUAUUCAAAAUCUCCUUUAAUCGAACCCCCAUGUCUAUGGUUUAAUAAAAUAUUAAAAAGGUACCUAAAACAGUGAAAUUAACACUCAGCUCUUAAAGUUGCCACUUUAUGUAUUGAAAAAUGUACUUGAAAACGAAUGUUGAGAUUUUUUUCCCCAAUGAUUUCAUAAACACAAAAUAAAGAUCAUAUAUACUUUGAAAAUGAAGUUUCAGCAGCUGAGAAAGCUAGCCGUUACUAACAUAUUACACCCACCCACCCCACCAAGAAAUCCAUUAAUCUUGGGUUAAUCUGACACAAGGUAUAAUUUUGCAAUGGCCAAUUAUAUAUAGUUGUAUGGUAUUUCCGUAUUAUAUAUACUCCUAAUGAAAAUGAAGCAAGUACGUAAUACUACUACUAUGACAUAACUUUCAUGAUUGCCAACUGUCAAUACCAGCUACCUUUUAUACGUGCCUUAUUGAGCAUGGAAACAUCUUAUAUUAUAAUUUCCGUUCACCCAUAGAAGAAGUUCAGGGCCAUUAAUUCAACAAUUGCGAAACCAAUAUCCCAAUAAUAGUUUGAUUACUAAUCUUAGCAUUAAAAGAUCUGCAAUUUUUUUUUGGCCAAAAUACAUGCUUUCUUACUGCCUUGUUGAUCUUAUCCUGCCUGGUGAUUCCCGAAUGUUCUUCUCAUUCUCCUAUGCUGAGUCGCUUGCUGAGAUGAUGAAUGCUCGAGGGUCCUUCCUUGAGACAUUUCAGCGAACACCUAAUUCAUUCGGUCAAACAUCAGCAUCACUAAUCACUAAAUGAUGUAAGAUAGUUCUGGUUUGAAAAAUCAAUAUAAAUCAACCACCUUAGAUUUUCUUAGUCUCAGAGCACAAUGGGCGAUGAUUUGAUGAGAAAUACUAAUAACAUGCAUCCCCUGUAUUAGUUAGAGCUGCUUGUCAUUUUCUUUUUUCUUUUGGGUACUGUUUUAAAUUUUUAAUCAAUCGGAUUGAGCUGCAUGUUUGCUUUCAGUCCAAACUGAAAUCAGACAUUAAGUAUUUUUGCUAGAAUGAAUGCAACCAAGAUUCUAUGGGAUAUGUAUGAAGAUGAUGUAAUAAAGUGCUUUUGAUAUAUUCCCCUAGUCGGUUUACUUCACUAACCAUUAACGAGCAAAUCCUCCCAAUGACCCUCAAAACUCUUGUGCACAAUUAAAAUAAUUUCAAUUAUAUAUAUAUAUAUAUAUAUAUAUAUAUAUAUAAAUAAACUCUCAAAUAUGUUAUUUGAUAAUCACCAAAAAAAAAAACAAUUCACCCCAAUAAAUCACAUUACAGUCUAUGUUGCAAGUCUUUUUAGGACUAAUUCAAAGAGAAAAUGCGAAGGACAUGUAAUUGAAUUUGGGACACAGAAUAUAUUCCCAAUUACCCUUUAGUGUAAACAGUUCCACUUCAGAUAUAUAUAAUGAUGAUGAAAUUUUGUUUUCUCAUAGCAAUCAUUCUAGUGUUUUACAAUGAGUAAUUGGUUCAAUAUUAACACAACACUAUUUUAACAUGUGACAUAUUCUAUCGUAGUGUGCUUCAACUCAUACUUCUAACUCAAAUAGAAAAGUUUCCAUUUUAAUUUUAUUCAAUCUAAUGGUGCACGUUUUUAGUCAAAAAGCCACAAUAAGUCAUCGUUAUUCUUCUACUAUUGAAAUGAAUAUAUCAAAUGGAUGAAAAUUAAAUUAAAAGAUUGAAAUGACUAUGUGGAAGAAAAUUGAUGUAAAAUGUUGAAGUUAAGAAGCCCUCCGAAUUAUAGAAGAAACGAAAUAUAUUGACACACAACAGUUUAUUUAUUAAUUAAGAGAGACAAAAUAUAUAAAUACAAACAAAGAAAAUCUCUUGCAUAUAUCAAACUUACGCUCACGUAAUUGACAGGUAAUAACAAUACCCAUUUUUUUUAUUUCAUAAAACAUAGUAUGAAAGAGAACACUUCAUGCAUUUAACCACUAUAAUUAGGAUUUCUCUCAUAUUGAGAGACUAUUAAAAGAUCAAGAUUGUCAUCUUUUAUAUCCUCGUCACGACAAUACUAAACACACGAUGAUGCCUUCAACCCUCCAACCCAUCGAUCUUACCUGAAAAAAUUAUAAUUAAUAGGAAACUUAUUCACAAAUGCAUAUAUUUAGAAAAGAAUUACAAAUGAACGAACUCAGCCUAAAAAUUAACCUGCACAAGCAAAGAAAUUAUAUACCAUUUUUGACUUGCGAACAAAAGCGAAGCAAUAAUGCAUGGUAUAGACAUAAGCCAUUUUUAAAAGACUAUAUUCAUCAUGCGGAAGUUAGAAAACUUACCUCCUGCCAUAGUUAUCAGAUUUAAUUGUACACAACUUUUCUACUAGAAUGCAAACAAAACCAACGAAAACAAGCGAUGCUUUGUAAUCAGAAUUUUCUAGUCUAUCUAACACUUAAUUCCUGAGAGUAGAUGGUAUACACAAGCUCUGUUGUUAGACCAGGGACCCUCAAUAUUUUUUUUGAAAAAACUUGACCGUAAGUCAUCUCCCAUCAAGAUGACAUGUUUAAAUAAAAGAGGAAGUUAUGAGCCAUUAUCCCUUUGAUUUUAGGAAACCACCCGUAACGUGUAUGAGAGAUAUUAAGAAGAGUUGUUUUAUCUUUAUUCCAAUUUUAAACCAAAACCAACGUUUUGAAAUUAAACUAGAUAAAGAUAAUUAUCAAUUUAAAUUAGAAAACUAAUAAUUAAAAUAAAUUAGAUGGCCAUAUUAUACACGUUUUGAAAACGUGUCUAACAAUUUUUACUUUAUUGCAAAUGUGAUCAUAUGGCCUGAUGCGGUCCACAAAAUAUAUAGUUGUCAAAAAGAAGACGAACAAAGCAAUUGAUCAUAAGCCAUUUUUACUUUAUUGCAAUAAAGCAUGAUUAACGCUUAUUGCAAUCACUAAAGAAAGAGAGAUUCUAGAGUACAUAGAAUUAUUACGCUUGAUUAAUAUAUAUAUAUAUAUAUAUAUAUAUAUAUAUAUAUAUAUAUAUAUAUAUAUAUAUAUAUAUAUAUAUAUAUAUAUAUAUAUAUGUAAUUUCCCUAACGAAUAUGUCUAAUUCAGGAACUAAUUACUUUUUCAGGCCUAUGAAGUCAUUUCAAUAUUUUAAUUUUUUAAUCAUUUAUUUACUAUUUACAUAUUAAUAUUUUGAUUGUUAAUUUUUUACAUUUCCAAUUACUUAACAUAUAUCAAUUAUUUUUGUUGCCUUUACAAAGUCGUUACAAGAAUAUUAUGUUAGAGUGGAGAUACUUUCAUACUUUCAUGAGUUAACGGCGGUCAAUGGUUAAAGAUAACGAGUUUUGGGGUAGAUUGAUGUUUUCAAUAGUAAGAGGGGGAAAUUUGAAGAUUGUCAAUUCCCUAAGGGUAAUUAGAAAUUAACCCAUAUAUAUAAUAGGUACAUUUGAUAUGAAACGUAUAAUUUAAUUAAAUAUAUCUAUUAAUUACAUUUUAAUUUUUUAAAAUAAAUAUACACAUAAUAUAUAUGUAUUAAUUUAUAUAAAAAUAUAUAAAGAAAAUUAUUAUGUAGCACAAAUUCCCGCCCUAUUAAAGAUCUCAUGAUAUCCAAAAAAAUAAUUAUAUAUUUAUAGCAAAGUGUUGGUAUAUUUUGAAGGAACGAGUUCGGUACGGAAAUGUAAUAGUAUGUGUUUUUAAUGACGUUUAUAAAGUCAUUAAAUGUCAAAAGGAAUGAAUUUAGUGAUCAAUUAAUAAUUAGAUAGGUAAACAUGAAAUCUCUCGGUCUAUUAAUGUAGUAUAGUUUCUCCCUCAGUUAUUAUCAUUAAAUUAAUUUGUAAAUCUCGUUUCCCGCUACUCCUUCCAAAUAUACAUGAGUAGUGAUAUUUGGCCCUUUUAUUAUAACUCACAAUCUCCUAUUUUUUUGUUAACCCCAUUAAAUAUUUUUAAAUAAAUUUUUAUCUCUCAACAUAUCACACAUAAUUAUGGAUUUACAUUUAUUAUAAUUUCUAUCUUUUUUUCCAAGCACUCACUAUAUAAAAUUUAUAAAAUCUAUUUAAAAAAAAAACUCUCAUAAUCACUAUAAUCUCUUUUUUUAAAAAAAAAAAAUUUAUCCGUCGUUGUCAUAAUCAUUAAAAAGAAAAAGGCACCAUCCUUUAUUGAAAUCUCUCGGUCUAUUAAUGUAGUAUAUUUUCUCCCUCAGCUAUUAUCAUUAAAUUAAUUUGUAAAUCUCCUUUCCGGCUACUCCUUCCAAAUAUACAUGAGUAGUGAUAUUUGGCCCUUUUAUUAUAACUCACAAUCUCCUAUUUUUUUGUUAACCCCAUUAAAUAUUUUUAAAUAAAUCUUUAUCUCUCAACAUAUCACACAUAAUUAUGGAUUUACCUUUAUUAUAAUUUCUAUCUUUUUUCCAAGCACUCACUAUAUAAAAUUUAUAAAAUCUAUUUUAAAAAGAGAAAAAAACUUUCAUAAUCACUAUAAUAUCUCUUUUCAAAAAGAAAAUUUAUUCGUCGUUGUCAUAAUCAUUAAAAAGAACAAGGCACCAUCCUUUAUUGAAUAUUGAGUACUGUAAAUUAAUUUCUUUCACGAUUACAAAAAAAGAGUAUACAAUAUUUGAGAAAAAAAUAAUGAUUUAAAAAGUUAAAAAAAUUAGAGUUUAAGAAAUUAGAUUAGCUAAAUUCGAUAUUAAUAGAAAUUGUCAUAUGAGUGCACUUAAAAGUUAUUUACCCUUUUAAAUCAUUUCACAUAAUAAUAAAAUAUGUACUAACAUAAAAGUGAUUAGUAGAGACUGAUGAGAUAUAAUGAGUCAAAUAUCAAAUUCUACAUAUAUAUAAUAGCUAAUAUAAUUGUUUAAAUAGGAUUGUAAUUAAACUCAUUAAUUAACUACCUUUAAUUUUUCAGUAGGCGAUAUUUUUGAAACGUGAUGAUCAUGUGUGAAUAUUAUUCGAAAGUAAUGAUUUUACUAAAAUCUUCGUCUACAAUGAUGUUACAGUACUGAUGCUCAUUUAUUAGCUGUUGUCUUACCUCUUAAUUAAUUUUUUGCAUUUGCACUUGGAAUUAAUCAUUUGGCCGUGAUAGUAAUGCUACAGCCAGCGGAAUUUGAGCCUCCCUUCUUCAAUGCCUGGUACGAGAAUGAAGCUAACAAUCGGGAUGGACAGAACAUUCUGUUAUGGCAAACGUGUUUACUUCACUUUCAUUAACAAGACUUAAGCAACCCACAAAACCAGAGUUUGCAGAAACAAGAUUAAGAAACAAAACAAAAGAAGUAUCAAGCAAUCAAAGAUACUCAACACACCAAGAAUCUAACGUGGUUCAGCUCCACAAAGGAACCUACAUCCACGGCUGUAAAACCAGCAAGGGCAGAAGCUUUAUUGAACAACAAGAAGAUCGUUUACAACUGAGUCACCAAUUACAGAUUAAAGCCUAUCGAAUGUUUUCUCUCUGUAAAUCCUCUCUGUUUUUCUAUAUAUGUUUUACUAGCUUAGAGACAACUUAUAUAUGUAAGCUUCUCACGUGUGUUCCACUUGCAAUGAGUCAGUCUGUUAUUUAACUAACUAACCAACUCUUGACUUGAAUCCCACUUAUGCCAGCUCAUACGACACCUCAGCAUGUCCAUAACAGAUUAUAACUAAUCUCGGCUUCACAAAUCUCCACCUUAGUUCUAAUCUGAUUAUGCUUCUCCCUUCACUGCAACACAUCACCAGAAAGCUUGUUUCAUAAGCUAACACUUCCAAUCAGAUUCAGUAAGUCCCUGAACCUGACUGAUGGCAAAGGCUUGGUUAACAUGUCAGCUGGAUUUACUUCAGAUGGCACCUUAACUACAUUUACUACUCCUUUGCUGAUUUCAUCCCUUAUAAAGUGCAUUCUAACAUCAAUAUGUUUAGUUCUCUCAUGAUACUUAGGAUUUUUACUUAGCUGAAUAGCACUUAAGCUAUCACAGCCAACUACAACAACUUCUUGUUUAAACCCCAACUCAGAGACUAGUCCUCUCAGCCAUAUUGCCUCUUUGACAGCUUCUGUAAGUGCAAUAUAUUCAGCUUCUGUUGUUGAGAGGGCAACCACUGAUUGCAGGGAAGACUUCCAACUUAUAGCACCUCCACACAUGGUAAACACAAAACCUGUGAUGGAUCUUCUUCUAUCUUUGUCUGCUGCAUAGUCUGAGUCCACAAAUCCAGCUACUUCAGGUGAUGCUCCACUUAAUUUCCCAAACAUAAUGGCAGUGACAGCAGACCCUUUGAGAUACCUUAGUACCCAUUUCACUGCAUUCCAGUGACCCUUCCCUGGAUUCCCCAUAAACCUACUGAUGACUCCAACUCCAUGAGCCAAGUCAGGUCUGGUGCACACCAUGGCAUACAUGAUGCUGCCAACUGCACUGGAGUAAGGUAUCUCCUUCAUGUAGUUGAAAUCAUCAUCAGUGGUAGGUUCCAGUGACUUGGAUAACUGAAAGUGAGUUGACAGAGGUGUUGAAACAGGCUUUGAAUCUUCCAUAUUGAACCUGGUUAAUACCAUCUUCACAUAAUCCUCCUGAGAUAGAUACAAAACUUUGGACUCCUUAUCUCUCUUUAUCUGCAUUCCUAGAAUCUUUGUAGCUGCACCCAAAUCCUUCAUUUCAAAUUCAGUGCUGAGCUCCACCUUAAGCUUCUUUACUUCUUCCUUUUGUUUACAUGCAAUAAGCAUGUCAUCCACAUACAGAAGUAAGUAGAUGCCUCUACCAUUUGUCAGGAAUUUAAAAUACACACAAUUAUCAAAUCUGCUCCUACAGUAUCCAUGGCUUAGCAUGAAUUCAUCAAACUUUAAAUACCAUUGCCUUGGAGAUUGCUUGAGGCCAUACAAACUCUUCUUCAAUAAGCACACUUUAUCCUCUGAUCCUCUCUCAAUGAACCCUUCUGGUUGUGCCAUGAAAAUCUCUUCAUCAAGACUGCCAUGUAAAAAGGCAGUUUUAACAUCCAUCUGCUCCAGCUCCAGGUCAUGAUAUGCAGAGAGGGCCAGCAGCAACCUAAUUGAGCUAUAUUUGACUACAGGUGAGAACACUUCAUUGAAGUCAACUCCCUCUCUCUGUGUGAAUCCCUUUGCUACAAGUCUGGCUUUAUAUCUUGGUGGUUCAUUUUCUGAAGCUCCAGCCUUCAACUUGAAAAUCCACUUGCUGCCAACUAGUUUCUUGUUAGAUGGUCUGUCCACUAAGAUCCAAGUAUUAUUUUUCUUUAAAGAGACUAUUUCAUCCUGCAUUGCAGCAUACCAUUUCAGCUUAUCCUCACAUCUCAUAGCUUCUUUAUAGCUCAAAGGUUCUCCACCAGUUACUUCAUCACCUACUGUUAGUGCAUAGGAAAUGAGGUCAGCUAUGCCAUACUUCUUUGGCAUUUUGAUGGCUCUCCUCUCUCUGUCCCUAGCAAGCUGAUAUGUUUCCAGUUCUGGUGGUUGUUUUCUUUCCUUGGUCUGGUCUGAUGGUUGUUCAGGAGGCUUACAACUAUCAGAAUGCUUUACCAUCUGUCCAGCACUUUCUUCUUCCUCUGUUUCAGCAGCUUCAAUCUCAGUUUCUACCUUUGACUGGAGCAUUUGCUCUUCAUCAAAGGUGACAUCCCUGCUGAUUAAUAUCCUAGAUGGUUUCCCAUUAAGGGUCCAUAUCUUGUAUCCAUUAAUGCCCUCAGGAUAUCCCAAGAAAUACCCUUUAACAGCCCUUGGUUCAAGCUUACCUUGCUUUAAGUGUGCAUAAGCUGGACACCCAAAGAUCCUCAAAUUGCUCAAGUCUGGUGGCUUUCCAGACCAAAGCUCCUAAGGUGUCUUGAAACCUAAAGCUGAGGAUGAGCUUCUGUUUAUCAGGUAAGCAGCUGUGGUGACUGCUUCUGCCCAAAAACCUUUGGAUAUGUUUGCAUUCAGCAGCAUGCAUCUUACCCUCUCUAUUAUGGUUCUGUUCAUCCUUUCUGCCAGUCCAUUUUGUUGUGGAGUGUAGGUGACAGUUCUAUGCCUUGCAAUGCCCUUAUAUUUGCAGAAAUCUUCAAACUCUUUUCUGCAAUACUCUAGCCCAUUGUCUGUUCUGAGCCUUUUUAUUUUCUUACUAGUUUGGUUUUCAAUGAGAGUAACCCACUCUUUGAACUUCCCUAGUGCUCCACUUUUGUGUUUCAACACAUAGAUCCAAACCUUCCUAGAGUAGUCAUCUAUGAAGGACACAAAGUACCUAGCUCCACCUAAAGAUGGAACUUGUGAUGGCCCCCAAAGGUCUGAGUGGAUGUAAUCUAGUGUCUGUUUGGUUUCUUUUCUCCCUGAACUGAAUUUCAGUCUUGUGGCCUUCCCAAACACACAUUUCUCACAGAAUUCUAAGGAAGUAACUUUAUCAUUACCAAGCAAACCUUGAUUGCUUAGCUCCUUGAGGCCUCUUUCACUGAUAUGAGCUAGUCUCAUGUGCCAGAGUUUGGUUUUAUCUCUGGUCACACUUGCUGAGAUCCCUUGCACAGGUGAGGAUCCAACUAGUAUGUACAGCCCAUUUUUCCUAACCCCUUUCAUAACAAUUUUACCCUGAUCCAAGACCUGUAUCUCUCCAUUUUCAGCCUUAAUAGUACACCCUGAUUGGUCAACCAUUCCUAGAGAUAUCAGGUUUCUUUUCAGUUCAGGGACAAAUCUCACUUGGUGUAAAUCUCUAGUGACACCAUCAUGCAAUUUUAAGCUAAUGGUUCAUAUCCCAGCCACCUUGCAAGCUAGGUUAUUUCCCAACAACACCUUUCCACCAUUUACACUUUCAAAGGUCUUAAAGAAACUUUUAUUUGGACACAUGUGGAAUGAGCAACCAGAGUCCAGAAUCCACUCACCAGUUGGGUGCCUCUCUGCAGCCACCAAGACAUCUGCUUCAUCAUAGUCACAUUCAUCUUCAGAGGCAACAACAGCCUUUCCAUUUGAUUUCUUUUAUAGUUCUUCUAAUUUCUUUUUCUCGAAGCAAUCUUUAAUGUAGUGUCCCUCUUUCUGACAGAAGUAACACUUCCUCUUCUUCUUUUUCUUUUCAGCUUUAUCUUUCUUGUUGUUGUUCUUUGUUUGCUUAUUGUGUUUCUUUUCUGGCUUUCCUUUGACAACCAAACCUUCUACAUUAUUUUGAUCUUUCAUGUCUGAUCUUUUCUUCAAAUCCUUGGAUUCCAGAGCAUCUUUGACAUCUUUCAAAGAGAGGGUUUGUCUGCCAUAGAGGAGGGUAUCUACAAAAUGUUCAUAAGAUUCUGGAAGAGAACUUAAGAGGAUGAGUGCCCUGUCUUCAUCUUCAAGAAUUAUGUUGACAUUCUCGAGAUCAAGAAUGAGUUUGUUGAACUCAUCCACGUGAUCUUUCAUGGCUACUCCAUCUUUCAUUGAGAAUGUGUAUAACCUCCUCUUCAUAUACAGUCUCUUAGCCAAUGAUUUUUUCAGAAACAUUUCUUCUAACUUGCUCCACAAACCAGCUGCAGAUCUUUCUUUGGAUACUUCUCUCAAGACUUCAUCAGAGAGGUGCAAGAUAAUGGUGCUAUGGGCCUUAUUGUUUAUGAUCCUCUGAUCUGCACUAAAGCUUGAAGAGCCUUCUCCAUUCUCUUUCUUGGCCAUCGGAUCUUCUCCAUCAUCGAGGGCACUGUCAAGCCCUUGUUGAAUAAGUAUCGCUCUCAUCUUCAAACUCCAGAGAUAGAAAUCAUUGUCUCCAUUGAAUUUUUCAAGAUCCACUCUGGUGCUUGCCAUCUUUGAGUCUGAUCCCAACCGACACCAGGCUCUGAUACCAGUUUGUUAUGGCAAACGUGUUUACUUCACUUUCUUUAACAAGACUUAAGCAACCCACAAAACCAGAGUUUGCAGAAACAAGAUUAAGAAACAAAACAAAAGAAGUAUCAAGCAAUCAAAGAUACUCAACACACCAAGAAUCUAACGUGGUUCAGCUCCACAAAGGAACCUACAUCCACGGCUGUAAAACCAGCAAGGGCAGAAGCUUUAUUGAACAACAAGAAGAUCGUUUACAACUGAGUCACCAAUUACAGAUUAAAGCCUAUCGAAUGUUUUCUCUCUGUAAAUCCUCUCUGUUUUUCUAUAUAUGUUUUACUAGCUUAGAGACAACUUAUAUAUGUAAGCUUCUCACGUGUGUUCCACUUGCAAUGAGUCAGUCUGUUAUUUAACUAACUAACCAACUCUUGACUUGAAUCCCACUUAUGCCAGCUCAUACGACACCUCAGCAUGUCCAUAACAGAUUAUAACUAAUCUCGGCUUCACACAUUCUUUAGACAUAGAGGUCAAAUUAAGAUAAGGGGGGUCAAGAUUUUUUGUUAAAUUUUAUAAGAUAUGAUGAUGGUUGCUUGUAAUAUGUUGUAAUGGGCAAACUAUGGAAGCAUAACAUCUGCAAAGACUUGCUUUUGUCUUUAAUGGACAACUAGCAAGUAAAAACCUUGCUUGAUAUGCUGCUUUUAGAAACCAAUUUGCAAUCCAAUUCAAUAUUACUAUUCAUUUUUCAGGUACAUACAAGUUGGGAAUGCUGUAGCAAUUCCAGUUGGUAUUGUAUUGGGAUACGCUUUUGGUCAAGCUUGCCAAGGAUUAGCCGAUGAUGAUCAGCCAUUGACUAUACUCCCUUUCAAGUUUCCCAAUUGUCUUGCACAGUCAUCUUCAACACUUGCAGAAGAAGAUUCUGAUUGAAAUUGUAAGGAAAACAUAAAUAUGAUUCAUCAAAUUAUACUCUUGUUAGUUGCGAGUUAUUACCAAUUUGAUUUUUAAUUUGCUAUUGAUGUACGGACAAGCAUGUUCAAUGCAUUAUUUGUUAUUGAAGAUGUUUCGAGGUAGGAAUUAGAAUAUGUUGCAUCUUUUAAUUAGUGUUUUAGAUAUAUAUACUUUAUGCUUUUUCAGUCUGUAAUCACAUGUAUCAAAUAAAAGGUUUAGUUUUAGGGUUAAUUUUGGUAUCAAUCAUAAAUGUCUAUAUCAUUAUUGAAAGGGUGUUAAAUUAAAUGCUAAAAGGAUGAAUUUUUUUCCCUCAAGUGUGAGGGAUGUUUAUGAAAGUGACACCAUCAUAUGGCAUGGAGUCAUACUAUUAACAUAUUAUUUGAAUAUUAUUCACCAAAUAUCACAUAAUCAUGCCUUUUAUACAAGUGUAUAUAUGUAGAUGUAGUACAUACUCUUAUAUGUAGCCAUGAGAUCGAAUCAUGUCUUAGUAAAUGAAAAGUUGCUUCUUGUAAUCUUAUACUACGUUCUUUGAUAAAGACUUUCGCUUUUUGCUUUGAAAUGGUAACUAGGGGUGGGCAAAAAAAACCGUAGUCUUAAAAAAACCGAACCGAAUAGACGAUUUUUUCUAAUUCGGUUCGGUUUUUAUUUAAAAAAAAAACCGAAUAUACCGUUUGUAAAAAACAACCGACCCGAAAAACCGAAUUAUUGAUGAAGAUCGGAGAAUGUUGUUGGCGUUUGUUUGUAAUUUUAUUUUUUAUUUUUUGUUGUAAGUUGUAAUUGUUGUUAUUUUUAUUUCUCUUUAUAACAUUAUGAUUAUGUUUAUAUAGAUGGAGUAUUGGAGUUUGGUUAUGUAUUUUGAAAUUUUAAUAUUUCAUAUUUUGGGAGUAUCUUAUUAAUAGUUAGUAAAAUAUUAGUGAUAAAAUGUGUUUUGAAUACUUUGUAUUUAUUGUUAAUAAUUGUAAUAAAAUUAGGAUAAAUUAAUUGUUGAAAAAAAUUAUUACAUUCAUGAGGCCCAAUGGGCUAAAAAUUUAAAAAUUCAAAAUAGGCCCUAUGAGCCCAUAACCAAAAAAACCGAACCGAACCGAACCGAACCGAACCGAUUCGAAAAGAACCGUUUGAGUUCGGUUCUUAUUCGGUUCUACUUAAUUUCGAACCGAACCGAACCGAACCGUGCCCACCCCAAUGACAACUACAUAAUAAAGUAAAGACUUUCGCUUUCAUUCUUUAGUGGCAUUCUAUGAUGAAUUGACACAUUUUGUGACCCAUGCUUAAACCAUGUGGUGCUUUUUAUCAUCAUUAUUCCCAUUUCCAUUCUGCUUUUGGCUUUUAGGAAUUAAGGGUAUGCAACUUGCGAGCUUCUUUUGUCACCAACCCAAAAGGCCAAAACCAAUAAAAGAAAGCAACUCUCCUUCUUGUUCUAUCAUUCAUGUUUCAUUCUCUAGAUUGCCGUGCUCUUUGGUUUAUGAAAACGACAAAAUAUAGAACUUUAAUUAAUUUGAUAUGAUUUCAAAGCAUAAUGAGGAUGCAAUACGACAAAAUAUAAACAUUUAUUAAUUUGAUUAAAUUCCAAAGGAUAAUGAGAAUGAGGGAACAAUGCAUUGGAAAUUGCACUAGAAUUGGAUGUGGAUAAAAAUAAAAUGCGUUUUCUUUGGGGUUUUAAUUCAAAAGAGAGAAAUAUAAGUUGUAUUUUACUAAUUAAUCGAAAAAAAAAUUUAAAAAGUAUUUAUUCGUCAAUGGAAAAAAAAUUAUGAAAAGAUUUAAAACAAAUUUCACCAGUAUUUUCUCAAACCAAGAAUGGUUACUACGAACAUCAGGCAACAAACAGACAAUUUCCAAUUUAAUUAUUAGUUUUAUAUUUAUAUAUAUAUAUAAGUUCGUUUUGAUUUUUUAAUGAAUUAUAUAAGUGGGCCAUUUGUCUAAAGUCAGACAGUCAAUAACCACCGGCAUUGUUAUAUAAAACUUCUGUUUUAAAAUUUUUAACACCUAAUGUGAAAAUAUCCUCAAGGGGCCCUAGACUUUAUAAAAUAUAAUAUUAAAUCUAGUGCUAAAAAAUACUACAACUUAGAUCUACCUUAUAUUCUUGUUAUUACAAGGUGAUAAAAAUCUGUUUGCAAUUUUUGCCAUGUAGUUUGGAUUCAUAAUAAAAACACUAUUUUUUAGAUUUAUUUUGAUGUUCGAACUUGGUAAAAAUAUUUAUUUAAAUUAUUAGUACAUAGCUAGGUUAUUUGAUAAAUACAGGCAAAUUUUCUAACCAAAAUCGUCCAAAGAAGUUGAAAGUGUUUAUUGUUGUUAUUUCAUGACAUUCUAACAAACUGUAAGGGGUCACAGAAAGGUUGGUACCCCUACUUCUUGUUCUUUUUCUUUUCUCACUUUCUCAUAAGUUGACUUUAAAGGAAUACCCAUAAAAAGUGAUUGAAAAAGAUAUUCCACGUAGACUACACCAUCCACUCAGGAUGCACCACGUGUAAAACAUCAUGACCUUUUCUCUUUCUCGGCAUAAAAAUAUUUAAAAAAAUAAAUAUUAAAUAAAUAAAAUAAUAGAUGUAUGUAUAUAUAUGUGUGUACACACGCACGCGCUAAAAUACCGGGAACGAGAAAACAGACUUCCUACUUUCUUCUUUCAAUUUUCUAAGCUCACGCUAGCUUUCUCUCUCUAAAAGUAGGAACCGUAAAUUGAGUGAACGUGCGGAAUGACGGCAGCGACGCCGGCGGCGGAGGCGGUGGAGAAGUUCUUGAGGAAAUGCGAGGCGUCGGGUGACGAGGCGUACGGUGCGUUUCGGUCGGUGUUGGAGAAGCUGGAGGAUCCGAGUAGUCGGACGCAGGCUCGGGUCUUCCUUUCGGAUCUUCAGAAACGGGUCGAUGACUCGGACGAGUGUCUAAACAAGUACCAUUUCCGGAUCCAAGAUGUCGUCUUGGACCAAUACGAAGGUCCAUUUCUCUUGCUUCAUUUUUUCUUGUUUAAUUCGGUUGAUUUUUUUUUUUUUUUGAGCUAGUGGUUUGACUUUCUUUGAAUUAGGGACUAAAAAGUGAUUGUUUGUUUUUUAGUUUGGGGAGUGGUUUUAUGGAAGAUAGUUCGGAGGAAAAAGUGCUUUUGAUAUUAAGUGAUUUUUGGGAAAGUAAUUAAGUGCUUAUGUGACAUAAGAAGUGCAUUGUAGAAAAGCAAUUGUGCUUUUCGUAUGUUUUAAAGAAUUUUUGAGUAGUUCAGUUUGGUGCUUCUAAUUAAGUGUUUUUUCAGAAUGUGAUUUAUGUUCUUUUUUUUCUUCAAUUCAAGAAGUGCGUUUUAGAGAUGUAACUGUUAGAAAUUUUUCUGAAAGAAGCCCAAAAAAACGUAUGCUCUUUUUUUUUUUUUUUUUGUAGUUCAGCUGGAAACUUAAAGAAAAUGCAGAACUUACUUUUUUUUAAGAAAAAUCUGAUUUGAUUACUUGAAAACAUUUAUGAUUGUGAGUGCUAUUAAUUAUUUGCAUUUUUUUUAUGCAUUAACUUUCUUAACUUAGGGUGUUUAUUUUAUCAUGAUUAUUUUCAUUCAACAAUACAAUAGACUUUGGUUGGGUCCACCUUAGUUGGGUGUUUCUGAGCAACCAAUUAGGGUCUGGAGAAAACUUGGGUGGAGUGCCGAUCGUUUUCAGGAUUCAGUCCCAAGAAAAUACAAACGAAGUCGUAGUUGUAGUUUAAAUUAAUUUAUAUUUUUGUCUUUUUCUGUGAGCCCAGUGGGCUUUUGUUUUUACUUUGUUCUCUUUUGUUUCUUCCCCUUCUUUUCCUACUGUUUCUUGACAAUCAAAACAGACCAGGAUUUGUUUCAUUUAAACGUUUACUUUUGGUGUAAUUAUUCACUCUAACUCGAAUAAUGCAUAGGUUUAGUGCUAACAAAAUAGAAAGUGAAUUAAUAUCUAAAGCUGAUUUGGGAGUGGAAUGUAUGUUACUAAAAAUAUACUAUAUAGUAGAUAGAAUUUGCUUUUUAGGUAACACUGAAAUAAUAACUGCUGUUAACUUAUUUCAAUAAGCUUGUAAAUCAUUUCAUAAUAAGUCCUAGAUUUUAAUGGUUUUUUUUCCUGAAAUUUUUCGUCAGUGCAUGAGCAAAGUUCAAUGGAUGAACUUCUCUUUCAAUGUCACUGCUCCUCAUAUUAACUGUAUGAAACAGUAAUCUUGCUCUGUACUUUGGAGCAUUUUAAUAGUUGUUGCCAAUUCCUUAGCCAUUUUAUUCACCUCGUGCACAAAUUAUGCAAUCAAUAAGCCAACUCAACUUUCAUCUUUCUUCAGUGAAAAAUUUGCAAGGCCACUAGGAGGUUUUUGUACAUCUUAUGUAACUUGGCCGCCGUGGUUUUACCAUGUAAAUUUUCCCUAUUGGAAUUCAUGAUCCCUCAUAUGCCACUCGUGAAGCUGCUUCUGCCGCUUUAAAAGCACCAAAUUUCAGUUUUAUCCUUUCUAGCUUAUUAACUUGUCUGCAUACGCAUUAUUAUCUUUGUUAUUGUACGAAAGUUUCAUUUAUCAUCUUCCCAACAUAAACAUCCAUAGGUCAUUGUUCACUUUUUUCCUUUAGAGUCAUGCCCGAUUAUGGUUGCCGGAUUUUCUGCUCUGACAAUAUUGUUUCUAAGUAUAGGCUACCAAGGGAGAAAAAAAUUGACAAUGAUGGUCAUCCCCAGCAUUUUUAUCCCAGAAGACUGGUAGUUUACUUUCUAUGAAGGACUGAAUAGACAUCCUGACUCUAUUUUGAAGGACAAGACUGUUGCUGAGCUUGGUUGUGGAAAUGGAUGGAUAACCAUUGCCAUAGCUGAGAAGUGGUUGCCUUCGAAGGUUUGUUGGUUUGUCAUCUUUUGCCAUGUGGGAGCUUUUGUUUGCUUCCUUACCAGUGCCUUCAGGAGCUCCAUCGUGAUUUCUCUCCUCAUCGUUUUCUAUCUCCUUGUUUUGCAAGGCCACUUGUUAUUUAUAAGUAACAGUGUUGGCACCAGAUUAUGGUGUUUUAGUGCCCUCCUAUUCAGAAAAAUUACAUAUAAAUGAACAUGUGAAUUAUCAAGUCUGUCCUUGUCCAAAAGUCUUGAUUGGAGAAUGUUGAAAAUAUAACCUUGUAGCAGUUCUUUUAUGCUGUCUGAAUAUUCUUUUGCAGGUCUAUGGCCUUGAUAUUAAUC
rnacentral:lncRNA from 1 species